rnacentral:lncRNA from 1 species
GCAUGAAGCAAAAUUUAUCAAAGGAUUAUCAAGGAUGUGUUGAAUAAAUUAGAUCCCAAGUACUUAUAUGUUCCUGAGCACCUAGUAGGUAUGGAUCGCUUGCUCACAAUAUUUUGACUUUCUAAGUACUGCAACAGAUGAUGUACGCAUUGUGGGCAUACAUGGGAUGCCAGGAAUAGGAAAGACACUAUAGCAAAAGUUGUAUUUAAUCAACUCUGCAAUGGAUUCGAGGGAAGCUGUUUUCUUUCGGAUAUCAAUGAAAAAUCAAAACAAUUCAAUGGUCUGGCUCUUUUACAAGAGCAACUUCUUAAAGAUAUUUUAAAACAAGAUGUUGCUAACAUCAAUUUUGUAGAUAGAGGAAAGGUUCUGAUCAAAGACUGGUUUUGUCGCAAAAGAGUUCUUGUUGUUGCUGAUGAUGUGGCUCGUCAGGACCAGCUAAAAGCUUUGAUGGGAGAUCGAAGUUGGUUUGGUCCCGGAAGUAGAGUAAUUAUUACAAGAGAUUCAAAUCUUCUUCGUGAAGCAGAUCAAACAUAUCAGAUCAAAGAAUUGAAACCAGACGAGUCCCUUCAGCUUUUCAGCUGGCAUGCCUUUAAGGACUCCAAGCCAGCAAAAGAUUACAUUGAGCUUUCGAAGAAAGCCGUUGGUUACUGUGGAGGACUUCCUCUAGCUCUUGAGGUUAUAGGAGCUUGUCUGUACAGGGAAAACAAAGAUAGAUGGGAAAGUGAAAUUGACAACUUGAGCAGAAUUCCAAACCAAGAUAUUCAAGGAAAGCUUCUAAGAAGUUAUAAUGCACUUGAUGGUGAACUACAAAGAGCAUUCCUUGAUAUUGCAUGCUUCUUUAUUGGUAUAGAGAAAGAAUACGUCGCAAAAGUGCUAGGAGCCCGUUGCCGUUACAAUCCAGAAGUUGUUUUGGAAAAGCGUUGUUGAGGUAUUAUUUCUUUCGGUCUCUCUUGCAGAAAAGAAUCACACACAACUGGCACAUACAUUGAUUAAUGUCUAAAAUCUCAGCAUUCCUUAAAAUCAAUAUGUAUAUAGGCAAUAAUCAUUAUUAUUAUUAUUUUAUUUUAAAAAACAAAUAUCAUAUUUAAUAAUAUUUUUUAUUUUUCUUAUUGAAUCUAAAAAAUUAAAUAUUAUCUUUAAUAAUAUUUUUUUAUUAAAUAUUAAAAGUCUGAUUGGUUUUAUUUUUUAUUUCUUGAUUUAAUGAUAAUAUAUUUAUACAGGCAAUUUGCAACGGUCGUCACCGGUAUCGUAUUGACCCCUUUCCUGGUUUGAUGCCAAAUUGGAUGAGCUACAGGGGAGUAGGAUGCUCAUUGUCAUUCCAUAUACCUCCAGUCUUCCUAGGCUUAGGCUUAGUUUUUUGGGCUGUCCAUCCACUUGAGAAGGAUUAUCAUUAUGAUUAUUAUUUCAUAUACCUCCAGUCUCGAAUUAUUACUAUUAUAAGAAAUAAAAGCAACGGUAUUCAAUUGUUUAAAGGUUAUGGAUCACGAGGAGCUGCGAGAGGGAUAAGAUACAUACGUAGAAGUGAAAUGGCAAUGGAAGAUUACUGUGGAGAUGACGAAUUGGAACUAUGCUUUUAUUCAGAGCCAACAGAGUUUUACAAUUCUUCAUAUCACAAAUUGCACAUCAUUAAAGAAUGUGGGGUCCAUGUGAUCGCAGGGAAGUCAGAUUCAUUUGAAGAGUCGGAAGUGGGAAGAGAUUCAGUGAUGCUUUCACCACCGCUGUAUCAUCUGCUUCCUCAUCCUCAUUGUGGUUCAAUCACAGUGUCUACACCUAAUCAAUGGAGUGACUUUUUAUUUGCGAAGCUGCAAGGACAUAGCCUCAGUUUAAAAUUUGAUGGUAAGAACAAAUAUUUCAUUUAGUUAUUUUUAUUCUAUUAUAUUUAAUUUAUGAGAUUAAAUAUUAUCUUUAAUGAUUUCAUUACUAUUAUUUAAUAUAAAAAAUUAAAUAUCAUCUUUAAUAAAAAAAAAAUUAAAUAUUUAAGGCUUUUUGGUAAGAAUACAUAUUUCCUUUAGUUAUUUCUAUUUUAUUCUAUUUAAUUUGAGAGAUUAAAUAUCAUCUUUAAUUAUUUUAUUUUUCUUAUUUAAUCUAAUAAAUUAAGUAUUAUCUUUAAGAAUAUUUUUUAUUAGAUAUUUAGAGUCUCCUUGGUUUUAUUUUUUUUUUCUUAAUUUUAUGAUAAUAUUUUUCUUAUUUAGUAUAAAAAAUAAAUAUUAUCUUUAAUAAUUAGAUCUAUCGAAUAUCACUUAAAAAUAAAUUAUAACUUUAAUAAUUAUUUUUUGAAAACCAAAAAGCCAACACUCACUAACAUAUUUUAUUAAAAUCACUUUAGUUUAUUUAGAAAAUAUUGAAAACUGAUUUUUGUUUUUUUACAUUAAAAUAAAAAAUUGGAUAAUGUUUUUAUAUUUUAUUUCAAACUCCAUAUUUUAAAACAAAAAUUAAAAAGAUGUGAUAUUGACCUUUUUUAUUAUAAAGUAAGUUUUUUAAUUAAAAUUUCUUCUAAUUUGAUGGUUUUUAUGGUUAUUAAGGAUCUGGACAGUUGAGAUAGCACAAGAUCAUUUUGGAGAAUACCUGGAUGCUUGAACUUACUCUAAAUCAGUACAGUAUAUAUGUUUUACAAGUUGAAUUUGAAGAUCAUUUUCCAAACUUGGAAGUUUAUUGAAUGCUCUUUGAAAUCUUUUCCAUCCGCUUUCAAAUUGGAUGACCUAGUUGUUAUUAUCCAUGAUGUAAUUUAUACAUUUGAUGAAUAUUGUUUCAUUUUAUUUUUCUCACUUCUUCUAUGUAUUCUCCAAAAGAUGAAAAUCUUUGAUCCCAGUUAGAAAUAAAUUGGUUUUCUAGGAAGAAAUUAUUAGUUGAGAUAUAUUAUUUGAGUUGAUUCUUCAUUGUUUAAUGUUAUGAUAUAUUUAAGAUAAUUGAUGAAAACUAAUAAUACAUAGGAAAUUUCUGAAACCAUCCGUAAUUAGUCUAAUAAGUAAAGUGUUGUUAGUUUUGACUAUAAGAUCUUGCUAUGUAUUAUUGCAUGGUUUUUAUAUUUUUUUUGCAUUUCUUCUUUUCUAUAUACAACUUUUGUUUUUCUUGCAAGUUUAUCAUUAGCUUCAUGGCACCAACACUAAUUAGUAAUAAAUCUUGGACUAUUUAAAAAACAUAAACAUCGUUUAAAAUACCAAACUUGAAUUGCUCAAAUUAACCUAAAGAAACCCUAUGACAUUAAUCUAAUUUAGAAAAUAAUUAGUUUAUCCUUGUAGUCUAAGAAAAUAGUAUUUAAUUCUUAUUUUUUUAUAUUCAUCUAUGAUUUAAUGUGUUGAUUAAAAUUGACAAUUGAGUUUACUCACAUAUUGUUAUAUUGGUUUUGAGUUCAAAUAGAUAUUUGAAAAGAAAGUUUUUUCAUGAAUGCAACCCUUCAUGUAUUCAAUAUGAAUGAUGGGAGAUUUUAAUGUCUUGUGAAUACAUUCAUUUAUAUAUGGAUGAUUUUGCUAAGAAUUGACCGGUAAAAAACUUAAUUUCGUUAUAUAAAAACCGAAAAGAGAACAAUAAAUAGCUAAGAAUUGAUAUGAAAAAAAUAAUUUUAAGACCAUUUGUAUCUUGAAAACACAAUCUCAAUAAUCUUAAUGUGAGGAGUGAUUUCAUCUUAGUACUGCAUUUCAUUGGGCCUUUGGUUACUCGAAUUCAUCUUAGCACAACAUUUCAUUCUUAAAAUGAUGGUAAAUCAGAAACAACCAUCCGAUACUUGAAGAUCUAUUGAAGAUAUUGGACCUCUGGAAAUUUUGAAGAGAAUUGGAGCAGUUGCUUAUAGAUUAGCUCUUUCAUCCAGCAUUAAUUCUAUUUUUAUCAUUAAAAUUUAGAAUUAAUUCUAUUAUGUAUUUAAAUGUGUUUAGUUACCUUGUAAUUAAACCGUAUGUUGGAGUCCCUCAAAUAUGCUGGCCACAGCAAUAUUUUAGGUGGAUUGUAUGGGGCUGCAACUACUAUAUUUUAUGCUAUGCAAUAUUUUGUCCUAGAACCCUUGGCCCUCUAAAUUACCCAAAAAGGACAAUAAUUGAGCAUGGUAACAUGGUUUGUAUUCUGAGGCAAUCCGGGCUAUGAUUUGAAACAAAUGUAGCUAUUUUUUCUCCUUUCAUUAUAAAAAAUUAAUAUUCAUGGAUUAUUUUUGGUAUAAUUUAAGAAAGUAAGUGCUUUAAUCAAAUUUUACAUUGACCAUCCUCAAUGUGUUAAAAGUAAAUGUUAAUUACCAAGUUGUUGCAAUUAGAUCCGGGUGAGACCGGUGUUUUUUAUUUUUUUUAAAUGUGAAAUUUGAAACCCAUUAGUAUAUAUACUCUAUAUUUUCAAGAAAAAAAUUAUUUUUUUUCAAUGUGGGAUAAAAAAACGUUGGUUUAAAUACUUCAACUUAAAAGGAUAAUACAAUAUCUUUUUAAUGUGGGAUUUAAAACCUAUUAAUAUAUAUCAUAGUUAUUAUCUUUAAAUAUAUUAUAAUUUUAAUAAAUGGGCUGUACAUCAUGUAAAUUAUAAAAGAAUAUUUAUUUUUCUGAUAUAUAUAUAUAUAACAAAUUAGAUGAUACUAACAAGAAAAUAAGAAUUAGUUUGAAUAAAUGAUACUAGUUAUAUAUCUAGAGAACAAGUUCGAAGAAUAGAAUGAAGUCAAAUAUUCUUAAUAAAAAAGAAAAAAACACAUAAAGAAAUAAAAUAUGUUUUUAAUCAAUAAAUAUAAAAGAUGGAUGAAAAUAUUAGAGAAUAAUAAAGAGUUAGAUAUAGAAUCUGUUUGUGAAAUUUCUAAGAACUUAAUUACAAUUAUAUUAUAAUUUCUUCCCUAAAUUUAUUCAAAAUAUAGUAUUAGAAUUACUUAAUGCUAGGUUUUAAUAUAUAAUUAAAAAGUUUCCCAUGAACCAAAUAAUAAAAAUAUUGUGUAACUCUUUUGAAUGAAUUAUUAACAUAGGGACUGUUUGGGGUCUCUGACUUGGCUGAUUUUAUUUGAAUAUAUUAUUUGAUUAGUCCAUUUAUAGGUUGACUCAGUUUUCCUGCCUUGAUUGCCAGGAAAUUUCACUAGAAAUUUCAAGUAAUUUACACAGGAAAUUUCCUGGUGAUAAACUUGGGAUAUGAUUUUCAACUUUGCAUCAAGGAAAAAACGUUUCAGAUGCGAAAAAUAAAGAUAAAAGUGGAAAAUAAAAGCCGAAAAAAAAUCCCAAAUAUCGACAAACAUCCCAAAUACAGAUAUCCUUAAAUUUAACCCAUUCUAUUUUACAUAAAUAAAUGAUAAGAUUAGGUGAAGAAUUAUUUGAUGUUUCCAUGGAACUUUGAAAGAAUAAUAAGGAAUAACACUUUUGAGAGAUUAAGAUUAAUUUUUAAAUCAGACAUAAUCAAUUGAAAGAUUAAUACAAACUAAAAGAUGAUAAAUAAAUAAAUAAAUAUCAAUCAAUUUUGUACAAAUGCAAAAUGAUGCAAGUGGACGCUAUCAGUGUAUUCUUAUGGCUUUCAGUUGUUUCCCCCCCUAAAUUAAGACGUUGAAAAAUAGACUAAUGAAGCGGUCUUUACGCUUAGUGUGUCUUCCAAGGCAAAAAUAUUAAUGCAAUCAGCUAGUGCCUGCUGGAAAAUUACUCCAAGAAACUUCAUGGAACCACCAAAAUAAGAAAGAAAACAAAAACGUUAAUAAUGGUGAAAACAACCUGACAUUAUUGGUCGAGAUAAUUUAAGUUUUUUUUUUAAAAAAAAAAUAAUUAUUUCACAGAUAUUAUAAAUUAGUGUGUUAUGGCGUUACACGUCAAUUAAGAGAUCGUUUUUUUAAAACGUACUAACAAUCCAACACAAAGCCAUCUAAAAUAUUUACAAAUAGUUAUAGCAUUUAACUAUUUAUGAAGGGUUUUUUAAAAAUAUUUUUUAUUUAAAAAUGUUUUAAAAUAAUUCAUUUCCGCUUGCAUGUCAUGCUCCUCCAUUGUUUUUGCAGCCUGUCCCGUUCGCGUAUCUACACACCACGCAUUGCCGCUGUUUCCGGUGUUUUUUCCGCGUUCCUCUAGGAAUAAAAAAAUGUUAUUUUUUCUCGUUUAAUUAUUUAAAUAUUUAUUCAUGUAGUUUUCAUGUUUGAAGUGUUUUUUUUUUUGGAUUGCACGAUGUAAUUUAUGUAUUUGCACAAUAGCUGUGUGAUUUACAUAUAUUUUAUUUAUAUUGAAUGAUAUUUUUCCAUCCUACAUUAACCAUAAUUCUAUAGGUAGAAUCACCUUCGAAGUGACUAAAUCUGCUUUAAUAUAUUUAUGAUUCACCCAAUGCCACUCUCAUCGGUAUUCUAAAAGCGAAGAGAAGAGUAGAAGCAAUGUGAUAGCUAUACAGGUGAGACUUAAUAAUUUGCAGCGAUAAUUAUUUUUUAAAAUAUUUUUUUAUUUGAAAAUAUAUUAAUUUAAUGUAAAAUAAUAAAUAAAAUUUAAAAUUUUUAAAUUUUUUUUUAAAAUGUAAAAACAAAGAGGAUAUAAUCAACCUCUUGAUGUCACUAUUAAUUAUUGAUGUCGAUUGAUGCAAAUGCUAACACCAGCGAAGAGUUAAGAGGCCAAUAAGCCAAAGAAAGAAGACUCAACUGUACGUGGAAAAUUAUGCCAUUUGAAGUGAUAUUGCAAUUCAAUUGCCAAGACACCACGGCUGAUAGAUGUAGACAGCAGUAAUGAACAGGAAAAGUUAAAAAAAAUAAAAUAUUUCAUGUCUUCACAGUCGUUUAGAAAAGAAACAAGAUCAAACCUUGGUUUCAUUUUGUCAGUUGACUCCAAGUCAAUGUCUAAAUCUCCUCUUUUAUGCAACGAAGAUUAAUUUGGCAUGCUAGAAUUCCAAACUGGGUCACCCAGCGAAGGUAUAGAUUUUAUUGGACGACAAAUCAUAUUAAUAAAUAUGGGACGACAAAGAUCACAAACUUAAUCAAUUCAACCGUACUCCAAAGAACACUCAUACUCCAAUAUCAGCAACCACCACAAAAGUUACCACUCUAAAUUCCAGCUCAGUAAUUUAUUCUUUGACAAUUAUUGCAUUGCUAAUAAUUUGCAAGGACACAUACUUUGUAUACUCUAAAAAGAUGAUGAGCAUUUUUUAGUGAAUUAAGUUCAAUUAAAAAAAAACAAAAUAAGGUUAAAUUGAUGAUUAAUAAUGAAUUUUGUAUACUUUGCACAAGAUUUUCUUAUUCUCGUCAAUUAAUCUUAAAGCGAGGUUCCAAAUAAGCCUAAAAAAUAUUUAUUAUUGAUCAACAAUAUUGAAUAAUGGCUUAUUUUCUAGUAUAAAUUAUGUUUGAAAUAAAAUUGAUAAAAGAGUACAUGAUAGACAAUUAAUGAUGGAAUCGUAUAUUUUGAGACUAAAUUAAGAUUUUUCAAUUACCUUUAAAUAUAUUAUGGUUUUAAUAGGUGGACAAUGCAUCCUUUGAAUUUAUUACAAGUAAUGUGUAAUUUAAAUUAUAAAAAAUAUUUAUUUUUCUGAUAUACAUGAUAAUAAUAAAUUAGAUGAUAGUAACAAGAAAAUAGGAAUUAGUUUGAAUGAAUUGUACUAGUUCAUAUUAUGAUAUAUCUGGCGAAGAAGUUCGAAGAAUAGAAUGAAAAAGAACAAAAAAGAAAACACAAAAAGAGAUAAAAUAUGUUUUUAAUAAAUAUAAAAGAUGGAUAAAAUUAGAGAACAAGAAAGAGAUAUAUUUGUAAAAUUUCUAAAAACUUCCUCUUACUAACAUGCUGUAAUUUCAUAGCUUCUAUCAUCUGAUCUACAAAUAUAGAGGUAACUCGUAUUUUAUCAUGAGGGGAUGCCGAAUAGAUCUACAAAUCAAAGUGAUUUAAAAUAAUUAAGAGUGCAGCCAUAGUCUUACAGCUAGUACUAAAGUUUUUCUUUUCUAAAUUAAAGAUGAAUAUUUUUUGUUGGCAUCAAAUAAUUUAAAAUGAGAAUUACAGAGCAAAGGGUUUAAUCAAAUAUUACAAGAGAAGGUUUUGUGUAAUUAUUAGAUAAUUGAAAUCAUCACUAAUCUCCUUUUUUCAUUUUCUUUUUUUUAUUAUCCCUAGCAUGCACGAAACAUUGAAACUCCGCAAUUAUUCAUUUAUUAAUGCUUGAUGAAUUGUUAGAAGAGUGAGGUCUCCACAAACAUUGAAACACCGCAAUUUUUCAUGAUAAAAUCCAAAGGAUACCUUUUUUUGAUAAAUAUUGAUAAUCUAUUAUCAAGUUUUAUUUUUAUCAUUUAAAUUUAGAAUUAAUUCUAUUAUGUAUUUAAAUGUGUUUAGUUACCUUGUAAACCGUAUGUUAGAGUCCCUCAAAUAUUCUGACCACAGCAACCACUAUAUUUUAUGCCAUGCAAUAUUUUGUCCUAGAACCCUUGGCCCUCUAAAUUACCCAAAAAGGACAAUAAUUGAGCUUGGUGAUCUACGAGCACAAGGGGUACAGUUCUUAAUCGAAUUUUAGCAAAAUCAAGGAUCCAAGAAUUGGCCUCUGUAAAUUCCUUCCUCAAUAUUUACCAAUACUACACGCUUGAGAAAUUUCCUUGCUUUUUUUCCUUUACAUACUGUUACCUUUCACCUUUUAUAAUUAUGAUUAUUGCAUUGCUAAUAAUUUCCAAGAAAGAUGAUGAACUUUUUUUAGUGAAUUCAAAAUAACAAAGAAAUAAGGUUUGUUGCGGCUUUUCUUGUAACCUCGCUCUGGGAUUAAUAGCGAGAAUAAGAAAAUCCUGUGCAAAUUAUACAAAAUUUAUUAUUAGUCAUCAAUAUUUAUUCUUGAUCAUCAAUAUUGAAUAAUGGCUUAUUUUCUAGUAUAAAAUGUGUUUGAAAUAUGAGAUUGAUGUUCUUAAAUAUUUUUUAAUGAUUUUAAUAUGUUGAUAUUAGAAAUAAAAAUAAAAAAAACUGGUUUUGUUUUCGAAAAGAAAUUAACAAUCAAUUACUUGUUUACUAUGUUUUUAAGAACCAAAAUAAAUAAAUAAAGUUUUAUCUUUCCGUUUCCAAAUUUGGUAGCGGGAAAACCUCCUCAUCGCUGAGCAGGUUUUGUUUUAGUUUAAGCGUGACGGAGACGAUACUAAAAAUAACAAUAACAAAAAAAAAACUGGUGUAAAUAUCAUUUAUUUUUGUAUUUUAAAAAUAAUUUUUUAAAAAAUUAAAAAUAAAUUUUGUUUUUUAUUUCAAAAUAAUAUUUUUAAAUUAUUUUAAUAUACUGAUAUUAAAAAUAAUUUUUAAAAGAAAAUUUUCUCAAACAUAAAGUUUAGCCUGCAGAUCUUCCGCUGAUGCCAUCUCAUUGUUGUAUGCAUCCAAGCUAAGCCAAUUAAAGAAAGAAGAUUUGAAGAAUACCACCAGCAGCAGGAGUAAUACAUUAACAUAACAGCAUUAUGGCAGGAUGAGGGACGACCUCAGUGCAAGGGCGGAGACAUGUUAAAGUCUUGGGCGCGCUAUAACCUAGAUUAAAAUUUUAUUAAUAUUUUUUGACUAGUUUUAUGUAAAAAAAUUUAUAAUUCUUGAUUGAGUUAUUAAAAAAAUUUAAAAUUUACGUGGAGCCUUCUAAUAUAAUGUUUUAACUUGGAUUAAAAUUUCAAAAUAUUUUGAAAAAUUUAAAAAUUUAAUGAAAAAUCAUAAUUUAAUCAGUUUUAUAUUAUUGGAUGUAAUUUUCAAUCCAACCAUCAGAUUGAACUGAAAUUUUACGAGGGAUCUUAAAAUAUAUUAAAUAAAAUAUAGUUAAAAUUUUAUGAUGAACAGAGUUUAAUAGUGCUAACAAAAAAAACCAUCAAAUAAAAACAAAUCAAGAAUAAAAUGAUUAUUUCCAUUAAAAAGUAAAAUAAAUUAACUCUUCCUUCAUUUUAUACGUUGUCAUCCUUACAUUAGAGUACACUCCCACAUGCGUUAUGGCAGCGGUUUGCUCUGUUAUUGUUCUCAUUUCUCUUAUUGUUGAAAGAUCCCUUCGCCUCCUUGGAAAAGACAUUCCAAGUGUGCAGUGUUUAUUGUCAUAAAGUUUUUCAAACUCCCAAUAUUGAGAGAGAAAUUAAAAGUAGCAAAAGGAUACAACCAGUGAGGACAAUAUCCUCCAGCUCAUCAAAAAGUACUUUCGUGCAUGUCAUUAAGUUUUUCAAACAUCCAAAAUAGAGAGAGAAAUUUAAAAAAAAAAAAAAAAGCAAAAGGAAACAACCCCCAACCCAUCUUUCUUGUUCCCUUUUCCUUCUUUAUAUGGCUUACUCAAUGAAAAAGCAAGCACUAAUGCACCUUCUCCCCAAAAGUUUUAGUAAUUUACAAAGGAAAUUUCUACUUUAUAUGAAUUGAAAAACUAUUAUUGACUGACUUCUUGCAAAGUAUUUGCAAGAAAGCUAAAGAAUUAAAGAUUUUUAAUUUUUAAAAUUAUAAUUUAAAAUUCAUUGACGAGUGUGUCUACAUGUACAUAUAGGAACCGCUGAUUCAAUUUGAAUAUAUUAUUUGAUUAGUUUAAUUCGUGACUUGCAUUGACUAAAAAUUAGUAAAUAAUCCAAAAAUAACAAGAAAAUAAAUAUAUUUCCUAAAUCUGAUUUGAUUAUAUUUUUUAUCUUGAUUGACUUACUUGCUAAGUCUUCACUAAGCAUAAAUGAAUUUUAAUCUAAGAAUCUGUUUGAUAUUUCUUCAUUUAUUAAUGAAAUAUUAUUUUUAUUGUAUAGUUCUUGGUUCUGAGUUGAUCCACAGGUCAAUAUGUGAACAGUACAUUCUUUGAAUUUAUUAGAAGAAAUGUGUAAUGUAAAUUAUAAAAAAAUAUUUAUUUUUCUGAUAUAUAUAAUAAUAAUAAAUUAGAUGAUAGUAACAAGAAAAUAAAAAUUAAUUUGAAUAAACUGUACGAGUUUCUAUUUUGAAGAAUAGAAUGAAGUUAAAUAUUCUUAAUAAAGAAAGAAAGAAAGAAAAUAUAUUUUUAAUAAAUAUAAAAGAUGGAUAAAAUUAGAGAACAAGAAAGAGAUAUAUAUAGAAUCUCUUUGUAAAAUUUCUAAAAUUAAACUUCCGCUUCUAACAUGCUGUAAUUUCAUAGCUUCUAUCAUCUGAUCUACAAAUAUAGAGGUAACUCAUAUUUUAUCCUGAGGGGAUGCCGAAUAGAUCUACAAAUCAAAAUGAUUUAAAAUAAUUAAGAGUGCAUCCAUAGUCUUACAGCUAGUACUAAAGUUUUUUUUUUUUCUAAAUUAAAGAUGAAUAUUUUUUGUUGGCAUCAAAUAAUUUAAAAUGAGAAUUACAGAGGAAAGGGUUUAAUCAAAUAUUAAAAGAGAAGGUUUUGUGUAAUUAUUAGAUAAUUGAAAUCAUCACUAAUCUCCUUUUUUCAUGUUCUUUUUUUAUUAUUAUCCCUAGCAUGCACGAAGCAUUGAAACACCGCAAUUUUUCAUUUAUUAAUGCUUGAUGAAUUGUUAGAAGAGUGAGGUCUCCACAAACAUUGAAACACCGCAAUUUUUCAUGAUAAAAUCCAAAGCAUUGGUACUUUGGUGUUUGUGGGGCUGGUAAAUGGAAGAACAGAUCAAGAGAUGAAAUCCCUCUAUACCGCUGUUAUUUUUUUCAAGGUGCGUACUUUGGUGUGUAUCACGUGUUUGUUGCAUUUACUGCAUAUGAUAGUGGGAACUUGUUUAUCAAGAAUUAAAGCAGUUGCUUAUGGAUAAUUAGCUCUUCCAUCCAGUAUUAAUUCUAUUAUCAAUUGUAGUUUAGUCAAUGGUUCUAGAUAAAAAAAUUUAAGAUAUUUUUUUGAUAAAUAUUUGAGAAAUAUUGAUCAUCUAUUAUCAAGUUUUAUUUUUAUCAUUUAAAUUUAGAAUUAAUUCUAUUAUGUAUUUAAAUGUGUUUAGUUACCUUGUAAACCGUAUGGUAGAGUCCCUCAAAUAUUUUGGCCACAGCAAAUUGUACGGGGCUUGCAACCACUAUAUUUUAUGCCAAGCAUUAUUUUGUCCUUGAACCCUUGGCCCUCUAAAUUACCCAAAAAGGAUAAUAAUUGAGCACAAGUGGUACAGGUCAGGCUUAAACUCAGCUUACUAGAGCCAGUUCUCAAUUUUAGGCACCAGCUCUCAAACGAAUUUUAGCAAAAUCUGGGCUAGGAUUUGAAACAAAUGUAGCUCUUUUUUUCUCCUUUUAUUGUAAAAAAAUAAUAUUCAUGGAUUAAUUUUGGUAUAAUUUAAGAAAGUAAGUCCUUUAAUCAAAUUUUAGAGUGAUCAUCCUCAAUGUGUUAAAAGUAAAUGUUAAUUACCACUAAGAAGGAACGCAAAAAGACAUUCCUUUUCUUGUCAUAAAGUUUUGAAGAGCUAUCAAAACGUACUAUCGUGUAUUAUUGUCAUAAAAAUUUUCCAACUUUCAAUAUAGAGAGAGAAAUAAAAAUAAAAAGCAAAAGGGAACAACCAUUUUGAUAUUCAAUCAGUAUGAGUGAGAAAGAAAGGAAGCAUCUUUCUUGUGUCCUUUCCCUUCUUUACAUGGCUUACCCGAUGAAAAAAGCAAACACCCCAUUUUGAUAUUCAAUCAGUAUGAUUGAGAAAGAACGACAGGGCAAGGUUUGUUGAGGCUUUUCUUGGAACCUGGCUCCUUGCUUUUUUUAAUGCGCGGACCAAAUACUUGAGAAAUUUCCUUGCUUUUUUUUCUCUAGAUACUGUUACUUUUUACCUUUUAUAAUUAUGAUUAUUGCAUUGCUAAUAAUCUGCAGCAAAGAUGAUGAACAUUUUUUAGUGAUUUCAAAAUAACAAAAAAUAAGGUUUGUUGAGGCUUUUCUUGGAACCUCGCUCUGGGAUUAAUUAGCGAGAAUAAGAAAAUGCUGUCCAAAUUAUACAAAAUUUAUUAUUAAUCAUCAAUAUUUAUUCUUGAUCAUCAAUAUUGAAUAAUGGCUUAUUUUCUAGUAUAAACUGUGUUUGAAAUAUCAGGUUGAUGUUCUUAAGUGUUUUUUUUUAUAUAAUUUUAAUAUAUUGAUAUUAAAAAUAAAAAUAAAAAUAAAAAAAUUGAUUUUGUUUUAAAAACAAAAUUGACAAUCAAUUACUUGUUUACUAUGUUCUUAAGAGCCAAAAUAAAUAAAUAAAGUUUUUUCUUUCCGUUUCCAAAUUUGGUAGCCUGAAAACCUCAUCGCUGAGUAGGUUUUGUUUUAGUUUAAGCGUGAUGGAGAUGAUACUAAAAAUAACAAUCACAAAAAAAAUGUUGUAAAUAAUAUUUGUUUUUAUAUUUCAAAAAUAUUUAAAUUUUUUAAAACAAACAUUAUUAUUUAUUUCAAAUUAAUAUUAUUAUAGUAUUUUUAGAUUAUUUUGAUGUAUUGAUAUUAAAAAUAAUUUUUUAAAAAAUAAUUUUUCUUAAACAUAAAGUUUAUCCUGCAGAUCUUCCGCUGAUCCCAUCUCAGCUAAGCCAAUUCAAGAAAGAAGAUUUGAAGAAUACCACCAGCAGCAUUAUGGCAGAGGGAGGGAAGACCUUAGUGCAAGGGCGGAGGCAUGUUAAAGGCUUGAGUAUGCUAAACUUGGAUUAAAACUUUAUUAAUAUAUUUUGACUAGUUUUAUGUAAAAAAAAUUGUAAUUCUUGAUUGAGUUAUAAGGAAAUUUAAAAUUUACGUGGAGCCUUCUAAUAUAAUGUUUUAACUUGGGUUAAAAUUUCAGAAUAUUUUGAGAAAUUCAGAAAUUUGAUGAAAAUCAUAAUUUGACCAGUUUUAUAUUAUUGGGUGUAAUUUUCAAUUCGACCAUCAGAUUGAGCUGAAAUUUUACGAGAGAUCUUAAAAUAUAUUGAAUAAAGUAUGGUUAAAAUUUUAUGAUGAACAAAGCUUGGUAGUACUAAAAAAAAAACCGUCAAAUAAAAGCAAAUCGACUUAUUAAGGAUAAAAUGGUUUUUUGCCAUUAAAAAAUAAAACAAAUCAGCUCUUCUUUCAUUUUAUAUGUUGCCGACUGGGUAGAAGCAGAAUAGGAAAAGAAAAAAAAAAAAAAAAGGUGAGAGAGGAAAAGAUAAAAGUAAGGGAAAAACAUUAAAAAAAAUCCAAAGAAAAAAAAAUAAAAAAAGUGAAAGAAUAACCUUGUAAACUUACAAAGGCCAACUUAUAAAAUACUAAUUUAAGGAAGAAUCAAGUGAAGGAAAGAGGAAUUGAGAAAGGAAAAAAAUUUAAUUAUUUUAUUUUCUAGUUGACAUGAGAUUGUUAUUUUAUCCCGGUUGAGUGGUUGUUACAAUAUCAAUUCAGAUUCGAUUAUAGAUGAAUUAUAUUCUAUAAAACAUUGAAUGAUGUAACUUCAAUAGUGAGUUUAUUUUUACUUUCACUUUAAUUUUAUGUAUUUUCAAAUUUAUUUUUUAAUAUUUUGGAUAAUAUAUUUGAAUUAAAACUUUAUUGUUAGUUUCAAAAGUUUAUGUACAUAAAUUAAUAAUUAAUUUUUAAAAAAAAUUAUAUAUUUAUUUAAUAACGACAGGAAAAAUUGUCUCGCAUAAAUUCCCACAUGCGUUGUGGCAGCGGUUUGCUCUGUUAUUGUUCUCAUUUUUCUUAUUGUUGAAAAAUCCCUUCACCUCCUUGGAAAUGGCAUUCCAAGUGUGCAGUGUUUAUUGUCAUAAAGUUUUUCAAACUUCCAAUAUUGAGAGAGAAAUUAAAGGAGCAAAAGGAACCAGUGUUUAUCGCCUCCCCAUCUUUCUUGUUCCCUUUCCCUUCUUUACAUGGCUUCCUCAAUGAAAAAGCAAGCACUAUAAAUAUAUUAUGGAAAACAAGAUAAAAAGAAAUCUUUUGGUACAUCUAUAUAUAUAUAUAUAUUAUGGAAUUAACAUGGUAUCAGAAUAUCUGUGAAGUAUUGCUGGGAAGUCAUAAUUUUUGACACGCCUAAUCACAGUCUUUGUUUGGAAUUUUCCAUCAUUUGAUCUUGACAGCAUCAGAUUAAACAAUUGCAUGGAAAUGGUCUGCUGGAGAGAUUUUCUAUUGACCGGGAAUUUCGCUCGAAAAUUUCUAGUAAUUUAUAAAGGAAAUUUCUACUGUAUAUGAAUUGAAAAACUAUUAUUGACUGACUUCUUGCAAAGUAUUCGCAAGAAAGCUAAAGAAUUAAAGUUUUUAAUUUUUAAAAUUAUAAUUUAAAAUUGUAAGAAAAAAAUCAAUUGUUUUAAAAUUGUUUUCAAAAAUAAAACAUCAACUAUUUAUAUAAUAGCUAAAUCUAUUAAGAUAAAUCCAAAAUAACUAGUAAAAUCAAUGACUUGCAUUAUCAAGCUUGACGAAUUUUAAGCUUAAUCUAUUGUAUUAUCUUUGAUGAUCACUUCACAUGUAUCUCUUGCUUGUAUUUGCAAGAGAGAAGAUACCUUAUGCAAUUGCUCCAUUGCUAAUUGAUUGUUCCUUCUGCUCUCUCAUUAUUAAGCUUAAACUGUUGUAUCAUCUUAUGUUCCACAUUAAGGAUAUAUAAUUAAUUAAUCGGACCGACCAUUAUGUUAAGGAUAAGAGAUUGUGGGCGCCUCUUUUUUCUUGUUGACAACUCAUGAUUUAUUUAUAGCAGUUAAGGAUAUAAUUAAUCGGACCCACCAUUAUGUUCCACGUUAAAGAUAUAAUCCAAUGUUUCAUAAUGAUCAUCUUGAAUUUGGUUUUUUCUGCAUUAAAGUAUAACAGGUAAAAUUAAAUGAUUAUUGAAUGAAUUUACAUAAAUAUUAAGUCCAAUAACAUAAUUAAAUUUUUAAUAAAUCAAUUUGAUUUAAUCAUGGGUCAAAUUAAUUUUUAAUUAUAUUUAAAUUAAUUUAAUCCAAUUAAAGGAUUUAAUUAAAUGCAAGAUUUAAUUAUACUUUAAAAGGGUUAAAUUAAUUUUAUUAGAGAUUUAAUUCAAAAAAUUAAGUUUGAAAACUCAAUUUAGUUUAAUUAAAAAGAUUAAUAUUUUAAAAAAUCAAAAUUAAUUUUUAUCAAAUUAAUUAAUUAAAAUCAGGAUGCAAAAAUAUCACAACACAAUUGAAGUUUAGCUUUUAUCAUUUCAAAAGUUCUAGCCUCAUCUUCACUACUUGUAAAAUUGGGGCAGAUUAUGGACUUAACCGAGCAAUUACCGCUCGAAAUUCCUCGUAAUUUAUGAAGGAAAUUUCCUUGUUCUUUCUCGGUAUAUUUUUUUCAUAUUAAUUAUUUUUUUCAUAAUUAUUUGCUCUGAUGAAGAUUACCAAAUACAAAAAAAAAAAAAAUUGUUUCUAAAAUAAUAGGAUAUGAAUAAUUAACUAUAGAAACUAAAGAGUGGAUCGGUUAUCUUUAACGUUUGCAAAUAAUUAAAGAGAGAUAAAUUUUGUGAUGAGUUAUGAUUAACGCAGAAGCAAAUAAAAGAGGAACAUAAAUUAUAAGCAAAUAUUGUUUUCGGUUUCGACUUUAAAUCAAACCUAUAAAACCUAACCAUUACAGCUUCUCUCUCCAUCUUCUUCGUCUGCUUUUGUCAUGGCAUCAACUCAUCGAGUACAGGUAGAGAAACUUGAGGUCUAUCAAGUCAUCCUGUCCUUGAACUCACUUGACCCAGCCAUCGAGUUAUUUUUUCCGCUCAUCUUUUUUCCUACAAACUCACCAAGACAGCACCGGAUUAUUUUAACUCAGUGAUCCUUCCAGGAAGGCCAGGCCACAUUGAUUGUGUUAAAAAAAAAAAAUCUAAUUCAGCUUAGUAUCAACUGCAUUAUAAUUAUUUAGGAGGAUAGUUGAACCAUAUUUUUUAAAAAAAUUAAAUUUUUUUUUUAAUUAUAACUACCUCGAAAUUACCACUCCAAAUUCCAGCUCAAUAUCGAUCAACAUGUGGCUAAAAUUGAUAAAAGACACAUAAUGAUGGUAUUGUAUAUUUUGAACUAAAUUGAGGUUUUUUAAUUAUUACUUCCAAAUAUAUCAUGGUUUUAAUAGUUGGCCGGUAUAUUAUAUAAAUUAUUAAAAAAUAUUUAUUUUUAUUACAUAUGUAGUAAUAAUAAAUUAGAUGAUAAUAACAAAAAAAAAAGGAAUUAGUUUGAAUAAAUAGUACCAGUUCCUAUUAUGAUAUGUAUAGAGAAGAAGUUGGAAGAAUAAAAUGAAGUCAAAUAUUCUUAAUAAAAAAAUACACAGAAAUAAUUAAAAUAUGUUUUUAAUAAAUAUGAAAGAUGGAUGAAAAUAUUAGAGAACAUGAAAGAGAUAUAUAAUCUCUUUGUAAGAUUUCUAAGAACUUAAUUACAAUAUUAUUCAAAAUAUAUAUUAUUCUAGGUUUUAAUGUAAUUAAAAAGGAAGUAUUUGCAAGAAAGCUAAAGAAUUAAUUUUUUUAAUUUUUAAAAUUAUAAUUUAAAAUUGUAAGAAAAUAAUCAAUUGUUUUUAAAAAUAAAACAUCAACUAUUUAUAUAAUAGCUAAAUCUAUUAAGAUAAAUCGAAAAUAACUAGUAAAAUCAAUGACUUGUAUUGACGAGUGUGUGUAUAUAUACAUAUAGGAACUGCUGAUUCGAUUUGAAUAUGUUAUUUGAUUAGUCUAAUUCAUGAUUUGCAUUGACUCAAAAUUACCACUAGAAAUUCCUAGUUUCGUGGUGCUUUCUCGGCUUGCAAAUGAAUAUAAAGCAUAUCCUUUUAUCCUAUAUAAAGAAUACAAUUAACCUUUUUAUCUUUUAUAAUUAUAAUUAUUGCAUUGCUAAUAAUUUGCACGAAAGAAUAUUCUUUCUCUGAAAAGGGCUUGAGAAAACCCUAAGUAUAGUAUAUAAUCUCUUAUAGGAAUCUCUUUCUUAAAUCAUCAAAAUAUCAAAGUAUGUUACCAAAGACUAUGACUACAGUUUAUAUAUAGAAACAACCAAAUAUAAAAAUUAUUAUUUUUUAAAUAGAAAAACCAGAAGAGCUUGAUAAUAUUUAAUAAAAAAAUAAAAUAGAAAAAUUAUUCCUUUCUAAGUAGAAAAAAAUUAUAAAGAUUUAAUAAUACUAAAUAAGAAACAUUAAAAUUUCUAAACUAAAUUAAAAAAAAUAAAAAACUGAGAAAAUAUUUAUUAUCCCAAUAGUUCUUAUAUUAAAAUCUCAUUUAUCAUAUGUUAUAUCUAUCAAAAUAAUAAUAAUAAUAAUAAUUUGUGACGUGAACUAAAGCUAUAUGUAAGAAAUAUAAAAACCCGGUAGAGACCAGUUUUGUUUUUUCAAAUAUGUUUUUUCUCCUAGUUAGAGACUUCUUUUUUUAUAUAUUUUCUAUUGGUUACUAAACCAUUUCAAAGUUCAUAAGAAUAUUUUAUUUUUUCAAUAUGAAAUAAAAAAAAAAAUUGUUUAAAUACAUCAAUUUAAAAGAAUAAGAUAAUAUCUUUUUAAUAUGAGAUAAAAAAAACUUUUUAAAAUAAUUUUUUAAACUUUAUUAUAUGCAACAUGUUUAACCUAUAUUCAUAUGAAUUGUUUCUUUAAUUUUUUCAUAUGAAAUAUUAAAAAUCAAAUAUAUAUUUUUUUCGUCAAUCCAUGUAACUCGAGACUCUGUUUUUUAGUCGGGUCAAUUUUAGGUGGGGUUAGAUAACUAUGAGUAAAUUUAUUGAAAAAAACUUAAUUUUUUUUGUUUUUAUAAAAAUAAAAGGUAAAGAAUUAAAUUAUGACAUAUAUCACUAAUUAUUGACAUACUCUUAUUACAAACACAAAACUUUAUGUCACUUCAUGAUACCCAUGUUUUCAACGCUUUACACUGCUUUAAUAAAUUGUUACAGUAAAAGCACAGAGAGGAACGGUUCAAGAAAAAACAAUAAUGGAGUUGAAGCAAAAUCUGUGUUUGAUUUUUUCUUUUUUGUGUUUUCGGUACAUUGAUCAACAAUAGCUUGGAAGAGUUUGGUAUCUGUAACACGUGGACCCAGUUGUUGUGGAAACUUUGCAGAGGAUCUGCACUCUGCAGGAAGAAAAAUGAUUUUAAUGGAUGUACUGUACAUGAUUUGAAUUUAUUAAAAGUAACAAGAUAUAUACAAUUAGAUGCUGUUUUUCGAUCUUAGAAGUAGCAUGAUUUUAAUAUACACCUUCUUUCAACGUUUUACACUGCUUUAGUCGUCAAAAAAAAAAAAAAAACUAUUAGAUGCUAUAAAACAAGAUAUAUACAAUUUAAUUUGAGAGUGCAAUAGAUAUUAUAUUUCAAAAUAUUUUUGAAAUAUAUUAAAAUAUUACUUUUUUUAAAAAAAAAUUAAUAUCAUAUAUUAGAGCAAUAAAUAAUAAUAAUAAUAAUAAUAAUAAUAAUAAUAAUUUAAAACAAUAAAAAAUCUCAAAAUCUUUUAAAAAUAUAAUUUUACUGCACUCCAAAACACACCCAUGCGCCCUCAGCAACCAUCACGAAAUUACAUCUCUAAAUUACAGCUCAAUAAUUUAUUUUAGCAAUUAUUGCUUCCUCGUCGACAAUCAUUGCUUUGCUAAUAAUUUGUAAGAAACUUUCUAAAUUUCCUUCUAUUUUAUUUUUAUCAUGGAAACUUUAAGUCACAUGUGCGCCUACCACGAAAUUACCGAUAAGUAAAUUUAAAUGAGUAAUAGUGUAGGUUUCAAUUAAAAAUGCUUUAAUUUGAAAAAUUAUGUUAAUAAUAAUAUAAAUUAAUUUUUCUUCAUAAAAAAGUAAUUGGGUAUUAAUUUAGGCUAUAAAGAUGAAAUAAUAAUAAUAAUAAAAAAGAGUUCGAGGGUAUUCAUUUUAUUAUUUGUUAGGUAACUGUAUAAUUUAAUUUGUUGAUGUGGAAAAUAGCACAAAGUUUUUGGCAUGGCUAUUGAUGAGAAGCAAAAGCAGUAGCAGUCCAUGAGGACCAUCACCAUCACCAUCCUAUCGCUUCGCCGACAUUCAAAGUCUGAAAACGUAUUAUUGUCAUAAAAUUUUUCAAACUUCGAAUAUAAAGAGAUAAAUAAAUAAAAAGCGCAAAGGAAACAAUAUGAUAAAUUUAAACUAUACUAAAGGUCAGUUUUUAACUCUGUAUGUGUGAAUUUACAGUGAAAGUUUGAUUUUGCCCUUUCCGAGUGGAAAGUGGGAACUAUCUACUAUGAGAGCUUUUGUAAACGCGUGGAUCCAGUUGUUGUGGAAACUUUGCAAAGGAUCUGCAGGAAGAAAAAUGAAAUUUGCAAAGUAUUUGUGUGUAUUAUAUAAUUGUGUUAAUUUAAGGAUUAUUUUUUAGUUGUAUUAAUUUAGAAAAUUUUUUUUUUCACCGGAAAACUCAACUCUAAUUACCUGUAAAGUGCAAACUAAUUACGUUCGUAUAUUUUUUUUGUGGUAACAGAUGCAAUAUUCUUUUUAAUUCAAGAUAUAUAAAAUAAUUAUUUUUUUUAAAAUUAUUUUUUUAUUUUAGUGCAUUAAAAAUAAAAAAUAGUAAUUUAAUAUUUUCUUAAAAAAAUAUUUUAAAAACACUUAAUUUUUUUUUCAACUGUACUAUUCCUUGAAAAAUCUCAAGCUCUAAAUAACAUCUACUAGUUUCAGAAUAUCUGUAAGUCAUAACUUUUUGCUUAAUCAGUCUCUUUGGGAAAUUUAUACCAUUUGAUUUUGACAGUAUCAGAUUAGACAAUUGCAUGGAAAUGGUCUUCUUAGUUUACCGUGUGAAAAAUCAAUAUUAUUGUCCUGGAGGGAAGUAAGGUUUUUUUUUAAAAAAAAUUAUUUAAAAAUAUAUUAAAAUAAUUUUUAAAAUCAAAAUGAUUUAAAAAUACUUAAAAAAAUAUAAGACUAAAAAUUAAUCUAAAUGUUUUUGAAAAAUAGUUCAACCAAAGUGAUCAAUAUCGAUUAUUAUCUUUUAUGUAAGAUUAUCUUUUAUCUUUGACAAUUAUUGCAUUGUUAAUAAUUUGCAAGAAAACAUGCUUUCUUAAUUUCUUUUUUUUUUUUAUCAGGAUAGUAAAUGUUCUAUUUGUUUUUGUGUUUCAAAAAUAUUUUUAAAAAAAUUGAGAUUUUUUUAUUUUUUUUAUUUACUUUAAAUUAAUAUUUUUACAUAUUUUAAGAUUAAUUUAAUGUGUUGAUUUUAAAAAUAUUUAAAAAUAAUUUGAUGGUCUUUAAAUAAAUGUUUUUUUAGAAAAUCAUGAACCAUCACUGGGUAUCGAAAAAAGAAUUAUGGUUGAUUUAGCCUCAUCUUCUCUGCUUGUAAAAUUGGGGCAGAUUAUGGACUUAACCGAGCAAUUACCGCUCAAAGUUCGAAGAAUAGAAUGAAAAGAACAAAAAAGAAAACACAAAAAGAAAUAAAAUAUGUUUUUAAUAAAUAUAAAAGAUGGAUAAAAUUAGAGAACAAGAAAGAGAUAUAUUUGUAAAAUUUCUAAAAACUUCCUCUUACUAACAUGCUGUAAUUUCAUAGCUUCGUACCAGCUGAUCUACAAAUAUAGAGGUAACUCAUUUUAUGAUGAGGGGAUGCCGAAUAGAUCUACAAAUCAAAAUAAUUUAAAAUAAUUAAGAGUGAAUCCAUAGUCUUACAGCUAGUACUAAAAUAAUCAGUAUGAGUGAGAAAGAAAGGAAGCAUCUUUCUUGUGUCCUUUCCCUUCUUUACCCGAUGAAAAAAGCAAACACCCCAUUUUGAUAGGCAAGGUUUGUUGAGGCUUUUCUUGGAACCUGGCUCCUUGCUUUUUUUAACGCGCGGACCCAGUUGUUGCCACCAAAUUCCUUCCUCAAUAUUUACCAGCACUACAUACUUGAGAAAUUUCCUUGCUUUUUUUUUUCUCUAGGUAGUGUUACCUUUUACCUUUUAUAAUUAUGAUUAUUGCAUUGCUAAUAAUCUGCAGCAAAGAUGAUGAAUAUUUUUUAGUGAUUUCAAAAUAACAAAAAAUAAUAAAAUUGAACCAUAUUUUUUAAAAAAAUUAAUAUCUUUUUUAUAAUUAUACUCCAACAGCAACUACCUCGAAAUUACCACUCCAAAUUCCAGCCCAAUAUCGAUCAACAUGUGGCUAAAAUUGAUAAAAGACACAUAAUGAUGGUAUUGUAUAUUUUGAACUAAAUUGAGGUUUUUUAAUUAUUACUUUAAAAUAUAUCAUGGUUUUAAUAGUUGGACGGUAUAUUAUAUAAAUUAUUAAAAAAUAUUUAUUUUUAUUAUAUAUGUAGUAAUAAUAAAUUAGAUGAUAAUAACAAAAGAAUAGGAAUUAGUUUGAAUAAAUAGUACCAGUUCCUAUUAUGAUAUGUAUAGAGAAGAAGUUGGAAGUAUAAAAUGAAGUCAAAUAUUCUUAAUAAAAAAAAACACAGAAAUAAAUUAUUCAAAAUAUAUAUUAUUCUAGGUUUUAAUGUAAUUAAAAAGGAAGUAUUUGCAGGAAAGCUAAAGAAUUAAAUUUUUUAAUUUUUAAAAUUAUAAUUAAAAUUGUAAGAAAAUAAUCAAUUGUUUUAAAAAAUAAAACAUCAACUAUUUAUAUAAUAGCUAAAUCUAUUAAGAUAAAUCGAAAAUAACUAGUAAAAUCAAUGACUUGUAUUGACGAGUGUGUGUAUAUAUACAUAUAGGAACUGCUGAUUCGAUUUGAAUAUGUUAUUUGAUUAGUCUAAUUCAUGAUUUGCAUUGACUCAAAAUUACCACUAGAAAUUCCUAGUUUCGUGGUGCUUUAUCGGCCUGCAAAUGAAUAUAAAGCAUAUCCUUUUAUCCUAUAUAAAGAAUAUAAUUAACCUUUUUAUCUUUUAUAAUUAUAAUUAUUGCAUUGCUAAUAAUUUGCAUGAAAGAAUAUUCUUUCUCUGAAAAGGGCUUGAGAAAACCCUAAGCAUAUUAUAUAAUCUCUUAUAGGAAUCUCUUUAUUAAAUCAUCAAAAUAUCAAAGUCUGUUUCCAAAGACUAUGAGUACAGUUUAUAUAUAGAAACAACCAAAUAUAAAAAUUAUUUUUUUUUAAAUAGAAAAACCAGAGAGCUUGAUAAUAUUUAAUAAAAAAAAUAAAAUAGAAAAAUUAUUCCUUUUUAAGUAGAAAAAAAUUAUAAAGAUUUUAAUAAUACUAAAUAAGAAAAAUUAAAAUUUCUAAACUAAAUUAAAAAAAAUAAAAAAACUGAGAAAAUAUUUAUUAUCCCAAUAGUUCUUAUAUUAAAAUCUCAUUUAUCAUAUGUUAUAUCUAUCAAAAUAAUAAUAAUAAUAAUUUGUGAUGUGAACUAAAGCUAUAUGCAAAAACUAUAAAAACCCGGUAGUAAAUGUUCUAUUUGUUUUUGUGUUUCAAAAAUAUUUUUAAAAAAAUUGAGAUUUUUUUAUUUUUUUUAUUUACUUUAAAUUAAUAUUUUUACAUAUUUUUAGAUUAAUUUAAUGUGUUGAUUUUAAAAAUAUUUAAAAAUAAUUUGAUGGUCUUUAAAUAAAUGUUUUUUUUAGAAAAUCAUGAACCAUCACUGGGUAUCGAAAAAAGAAUUAUGGUUGAUUUAGCCUCAUCUUCUCUGCUUGUAAAAUUGGGGCAGAUUAUGGACUUAACCGAGCAAUUACCGCUCAAAAUUCCUAGUAAUUUACGAAGGAAUUUUCCUUGUUCUUUCUCUGUAUAUUAUUAGAAAAACUGUCAUUGACUGAUUUAAUUGCAAAGUCUUCGCAAGAAAGCUAAAAAAGUUAGAGUUUUUUUUUUUUUUUUUUUUUUUAAAAGGAGCAAAAGGAAGCAACCCCCAUCUUUCUUGUUCCCUUUCCCUUCUUUACAUGGCGUCCUCGAUGAAAAUAGCAAACACCCCAUUUGAAUAUAUAAUUAAAGAAAGAAAGAAAGAGAGGAAAAUUCCUUCCUCAAUACUUACCACUACACGCUUGAGAAAUUCCUUGCUUUUUUUUUUCCCUCGUUACCUUUUACCUUUUAUAAUUAUGAUUAUUGCAUUGUUAAUAAUUUCCUUGCAUUUCUUUAAUAUAUAAUUAAAGAAAGAAAGAUGUUGAACACUUUUUUAGUGAAUUCAAAAUAACAAAAUAAGGUUGUUGAGGCUUUUCUUGGAAUCUCGCUCAGGGAUUAAUUAACAAGAAUAAAAAAAUCCUCUGUAAAUUAUACAAAAUUUAUUAUUAAUCAUUGAUAUUUAUUAUUGAUCAUCAAUAUUGAAUAAUGGCUUAUUUUUCUAGCAUAAAUAAAAUUGAUAAAAGACAUGAUUACACAAUCAGUGAUGAGAUCGGUUAUAAAAAUGUAUAAAUUGAGGUUUUUCAAUUACCUUUAAACGUAUCAUGGUUUUAAUAGGUGGACAGUACAUCCUAUUAUGUAAAUUAUAAAAAAAUAUAUUUAUUUUUCUUAUUAUAUAGCAAUAACAAAUUAAAUAAUAGCAACAAGUAGAUAGGAAUUAGUUUGAAUAAAUGGUACCAGUUCCUAUUGUAAUAUAUCUGGAGAAGAAGUUUGAAGAAUAGAAUGUAGUCAAAUAUCCUUACAUAAUGCUAGGUUUUAAUAUAUAAUUAAAAAGUUUUCCAUGAACCAAAUAAUAAAAAUAUUGUACAACUUUUUGGAAUGAAUUAUUAACAUAGAGGCUUAUUUGAUUUGAAUAUAUUAUUUGAUUAGUCCAUUUAUAGGUUGACUCUAUUAUUCCUGCCUUGCAUUGCCAGGAAAUUUCACUAGAAAUUUCUAGUAAUUUAAACAGGAAAUUUCCUGGUGAUAAACCUGCAAUAUGAUUUUCAACUUUCGUAGGCGAGCACUAAAAGUCCCAAACUUCAAGAAUUUAUCUUCUUGUCCUUUUGUAUUUUCUCAUUUUCUUGGUAUGCGCGCAGCUGCCUCGAGAAAAAAACGUUUCAGAUGCGGAAAAUAAAGAUAAAAGUGGAAAAUAAAAGCGGGAAAAAAAAUCCCAAAUAUCGACAAACAUGACAAGAGAAGCUUGAUAUCUCUUCGUCCGCUGGUAUCUUGUGAAUGUGGAUAUUAUUUCAGAAUAUUUCACUCCAAUAUCAGCAACCACCACGAAAGUUACCAUUCUAAAUUCCAGCUCAGUAAUUUAUUCUUUGACAAUUAUUGCUUCUAAAAAAAAUAAUUUUUUUUUUAAUUAUACGCCAUCAGCAACUACCUUAAAAUUACCACUCUAAAUUCCAGCUCAAUAUCAAUCAACAUGUAGCUAAAGAAUUUUUUUUUUAAUCUCUUGUAGAAAUCUCUUUACUAAAUCAUCAAAAUAUCAUAGUAUAUUUCCAAAUACUAUUACUACAGUUUAUAUAUAUAUAUAUAUAUAUAUAGAAACAACUAAGUAGAGAAAUUAUCUUUUAUUUUCUUGUUCUUUAGCUUCUGAUUCUUUGGCUUUAGGUACAACCUAAGUAGGUAUAAAGCUUCUGUUUGUUUUUUCUUGUUCCUUUAUAUAUAUAUAUAUACAUUCUCAAUUUCAUAAAAAAAAUUAAUUAGUCCUUGAAAUCUUAAAAAAUAGUAUUUAAUCCUUAUGUUAUUAUAUUCAUUUCUAAUUUAAUUUUUUUUCGUCCAUUCAUCUUUUUAUUUAUUUAAUAGCUUAAGUAAUUUUUAGAUAAAAGCUAAAUAGUUUUACUAUUAAAGGCAUUUUUUUGAAAUAAAAUAAUAUUAAAUUAAGCAUGCUCAACAUUGUUCAAAUUAUUAAUUAAUUAUAAUUAACUUGAGGUUUAGAAGAAACAAAAGGGAAGGACAAAAUUAUCUUCCCUACAACCAUAGACCUAACCCCUUUCUAGACCAGUCCGCUGGUAAAUAAAAUGAUAAUUGUCUUCAAAAUUAAUAGCUUUUUUUCUUUCCAGCCUGCCAAGCAGUUUGGUCUCCCUCAUUGGACCACCUUAGCACGAGAAUCACACUAAAGGAUUUAAAAGUAGUUUGAAGUAUCAUUAAACCUGAUAAAAAUAAAUAACUGAUAAUAAUAUAAUUGAGAUUUAAAAAAGAAUUCAUAAAAAAAUCAUUUUAAAAAAACAAAAAAUUAAACAACCGAUAAUAAUGUAGUUAAAAUGAUAAAAAAAAAGUGUUCAAAAAGCAAUUUGAAACCAAUUAAUCUUAAAAAAAAAACAAAAACAAAAAGAAAUAUACGAUGAAAACCAAUUCAUGAAAAAGUAAUUGGAUAGUAAUUUAGACUAAAAGGAUGAAAUAAUAAAAACAAAAAAAGAGUUUGAGGGUAUUCAUUUUAUUGUUCACAGGAACGCAAAAAUGCAUUCCAAGUAUGAAGUGUUUUAUUGUUAUAAAGUUUUCCAAACUUACAAUAUAUAGAGAAAGAGAAAUAAAAAGAAAAAAGAGAGCAAAAGGAAACCGCCCCCAUCUUUCUUGUUCCCUUUCCCACGGCCUACUCAAUGAAAAAGCAAACACCCCAUUAGAUUUUCAUUCACUAUGAGAGUGAGAAUGAGAGAGAGGUAAUUUUGACUAUACAUAGAACUCGACUGGACAGAAGACUUAAAGAUAAAAUAGCUUUGAUUUACAACCAUGGUACAACUAUGAGAGCUUUAUGCUACUUUCUAUCUUUAGGUGGCAGCAGUUAUCAUUUCGGCUAUACAUAGAACUCGACUGGACAGAAGACUUUAAGAUAAAAUAGCUUUGAUUUACAACCAUGGCUUCAAGGGCCUGGAAUAGGACCAGGUAAAAUUCAUGUAUCUAUUAGUUGGCAGCAGUUAUCAUUCGGCCCUUGCCGCCCACGAAAUCCCUUUAUACUGCUGUUAAUUUUUUAAUGACGCGUAUCAGGUGUUUGAUAAAAUUCCUCAGCUGCGAAAAAAAAAAAAAACCAUGUUUAUAAUGCCUUUCCCACUUUCCACUCAGUGUGAAAGCAGGAACUACCAUGAGAGCUCUAUGCCACUUUCUAUCUUUAGAUGUAACGGCUUUGGCAAAAAAGAAUCAAAUAAAAGUUAGUUUUCGCAUUGCUUUAAAAUAUUAUUUUAAUAUAUUUUUUUUAAAAAAACUUAAAAAAUAAACCCGACAUGUCUCCUACGUUUUCAAAAAGAACGGUUCAAGGCAGAAUAAUAAUAAAGAGGCCCUCUGGUAGUCCAAUGAUAAAAACUUCAUAUUAAAAGGUUCGAGUUCUUGAUUGUUUAUACGAUGACAACUGAAUGUUUAGAUACUUGUUAACUUUAAGGUUUAUAGAAUUAAUCGUAGUGCGUGCAAGCUGAUCUAGAUAACCAUAUUAAUCUAAAAACAGUAACCUGUUCAACUUCAUUAAUGCUAAUGCGUGGACCCAGUUGUUGUGGAAACUUUGUAAAGGAUCUCGAGGAAAAAAAAAUGAUUGCAUUGCUAAUAAUUUGCAAGAGAGAAUUCUUUCACUGAAUAGAAAAAAUAACAACAAGUAAAUUUAAAAAUUAGUAUUUUUUAAAUAAAAAAACUAGAAAUUCCUGAUAAUAUUGAAUAAAAAAUAAAAUUAAAAAAUUAUUCUUUUCAAGUAAAAAAAAUUAUAAAAGUUUAAUAAAACUGAAUAGAAAUAAAUACAAUUUCCAAACUAAAUAAUGAGGUGUAUAUUUUGAAACUACAAGAUUUUCUUUUUUAAUUAUAUCCUUUAAAGUUAUUUAUUUUUUUUAAAAAAAACUCGUUAGUUUGCAAGUCCACUGCAUCAAAUUUGCAAAAUCAUAUGGCCCAUUGAUAGAAGGUGUGUUGAAGCAAAAUCUGUUUUAUUGAUCAUCAAUAUUGAAUAAUAGCUUAUUUUCUAGUAUAAAUUAUGUUUGAAAUAAAAUUGAUAAAAGACAUGAUAUAUAAUUAAUGAUGGGAUGGUAUAUAAAAAUGAUUAAAUGAGAUUUUUUAAUUACCUUUAAACAUAUCAUGAUUUUAAUAAGUGUACGAUACAUCAUGUAAAUUAUAAAAAAAAAAUAUUUAUUUUACUGAUAUAUAUAUAUAUAUAUAUAUAUAUAUAUAUAUAUAUAUAUAUAAUAACAACAAAUUAAAUGAUAGUAACAAGAAAAUAGGAAUUAGUUUGAAUAAAUGGUAGCAGUUUCUGAUAUCUCUAGGAAGACGUUUGAAGAAUAGAAUAUUCUUAAAAAAAAAAAAAAGAGAGCACAGGAAGAAAUAAAAUAUGUUUGUAAUAAAUAUAAAAGAUGGAUGCUAGGUUUUACAUAAUUACAUAAUGCUAGGUUUUAAUAUAUCAUUACAUAAUGCUAGGUUUUAAUAUAUAAUUUCUACUAUUGCUGCAUUGACUGGAAAUUUCAGUAUUCCAUAUCCUAUAUAUUUAACUCUUUGUUGUAUUUAAUAGCUAACUCUGCAGCUAACUUCUCUGUCCCAUUGCAGCCAUUUCAUAUCUAACUCUUUGUUAUAUUUAACUUGCUCUUCUUUGCUUCUUUGCUUCUUGCUCAUAACGAUAACAAGAAAGCCUUACGUUCAGAUAGAUAAUCAUUGACCAGUUCAUCCUAUACCAUUCAAUUUAAUUUAGAAAUGCUGAAAGAAAAACGCAAGCAAUCCAAAGAUGAAGACAACCAUUCAUCCUCGCGAAAGAGAAGAAAAGCUGACCUCAGUAAGCCUGUCAGUUUUGUCUCCACAGGUAAGGCAGAUGCGUGAGUCUAUACAUGUAGGAACUGCUGAUUCGAUUAGAAUAUGUUAUUUGAUUAGUCUGAUCAUAGGAUAGGUUGAGUCUACUAUUAUUUCUGCCUUGCUUUGACUCGAAAUUACUGGUGUUUUCUCCUGCAAAUGAAUAGAAAUCACAUCCUUUCUCUUUCUCCUAUACAAAGAAUACAAUUAACCUCAUUUCAAUAUCAUAGCUUUGGAAUUUCAUAGCUGACUCUUUGUUAUAUUGUUCCAUUGGUAAUUGAUUGUGCCUUAAUUUCUGCAGCUACCAUGACAGAGCCAGAGUCUUCUCGAUCUAGACCAGAAGGGGCCUAUGAUGUCUUCUUGAGUUUUAGAGGAGAAGACACUCGCAAGACAUUUACAGAUCAUCUAUAUACUGCCUUGUCCAAGCAGGAAUCCACACUUUUCGAGAUGAUGAUGAACUUCCAGAGGAGAAGAAAUCUCCGAUCAUCUCCUCAGGGCAAUUCAAGAAUCAAAGAUGUCCAUAGUUGUCUUCUCAAAAGGAUAUGCUUCUUCUAGAUGGUGUCUCAAUGAACUUGUAGAGAUUCUUGAGUGCAAAAAGAGGAAAACCGGUCAGAUUGUUCUUCCUAUAUUCUAUGACAUUGAUCCUUCAGAUGUGAGAAAACAGAAUGGCAAUUUUGCAGAAGCAUUUGUUAAACAUGAAGAGCGUUUUGAAGAGAAGUUGGUGAAGGAGUGGAGAAAAGCUCUUGAGGAGGCUGGAAAUCUAUCUGGAUGGAAUCUCAAUGAUAGGGCAAAUGGGUAUGCCAUUUUUCCAAAUUUAUAGAGUCAAUAUACUUUACAUUUUUCAAUUUGAAACAAUAAAAUACUUAAUUGACUGGCUAUCGAUGGCUUGCUUUUUUCUAUGAUCAGGCAUGAAGCAAAAUUUAUCCAAUGGAUUAUCAAGCAUGUGUUGAACAUAUUGGAUCCCAAGCACUUGAAUGUUCCUGAGCUCCUAGUAGGUAUUGAUGAUCUUGCUCACGAUAUUUUUUACUUUCUAAGUACUGCAACAGAUGAUGUACGCAUUGUGGGCAUACAUGGGAUGCCAGGAAAAGGAAAGACGACUAUAGCAAAAGUUGUAUUUAAUCGACUCUGCUAUGGAUUCGAGGGAAGCUGUUUUCUUUCGAAUAUCAAUGCAAGAUCAAAACAAUUCAAUGGUCUGGCUCUUUUACAAAAGCAACUUCUUGAUGAUAUUUUAAAACAAGAUGUUGCUAACAUCAAUUGUGUCGAUAGAGGAAAGGUUCUGAUCAAAGAGCGACUUUGUCGCAAAAGAGUUCUUGUUGUUGCUGAUGAUGUGGCUCAUCUGGACCAGCUAAAUGCUUUGAUGGGAGAUCGAAGUUGGUUUGGUCCUGGAAGUAGAGUAAUUAUCACAACAAGAGAUUCAAGUUUACUUCGUGAAGCAAAUAAAAGAUAUCAGAUCAAAGAACUGGAACCAGAUGAGGCCCUUCAGCUUUUCAGCUGGCAUGCCUUCAAGGACACCAAGCCAACAGAAGAUUAUAUUGAGCUUUCGAAGAAAGCCGUUGGUUACUGUGGAGGACUUCCUUUAGCUCUUGAGGUUAUAGGAGCUCUUCUGUACAGGAAAAACAGAGGUAGAUGGGAAAGUGAAAUUGACAAAUUGAAAAGAAUUCCAAACCACGAUAUUCAAGGAAAGCUUAGAAUAAGUUAUGACUCACUGGACGGUGAAGAACCAAAAAAUGCAUUCCUUGACAUCGCUUGCUUCUUUAUUGAUAGAAAGAAAGAGUACGUCGCAAAAGUGCUAGGAGCCCGUUGCGGUUACAAUCCAGAAGUUGAUUUGCAAACUCUCCAUGAAAGGUCUCUGAUUAAAGUAUUGGGAGAGACGGUAACCAUGCAUGAUCUAUUACGAGACACGGGGAGGGAGGUCGUUCGUGAAUCGUCUCCAAAAGAACCUGGAAACAGGACCAGAAUUUGGAAUCAAGAGGAUGCAUGGAAUGUACUUGAGAAGCACAAGGUACGCAAGAGCUUAAUGUUGUAUUUUCUAGUCAAACUUAUUACAAAUAAUGGUAUGAAAGUUGUAUUGAUUUUAUUUUUUUAGGGUACGGAAGUUGUAGAGGGUCUUAAACUGGAUGUCAGAGCAUCAGAAGCUAAAUCACUGAGCACAAGAUCAUUUGCAAAAAUGAAAUGCUUAAAUUUACUCCAAAUCAACGGAGCACAUCUCACCGGAUCCUUCAAACUGCUUUCUAAAGAGUUGAUGUGGAUUUGUUGGCAUGAAUGUCCUUUGAAAUAUUUUCCAUCUGAUUUUACCUUGGACAAUCUAGUUGUUCUUGAUAUGCAGUACAGUAACCUCAAAGAACUAUGGAAUGGAAAAAAGGUACGAAACAUGUUACAAUCCCCAAAAUUUUUCUAAUAUGUAGUUUAUAUUUACAUGUUAUGACUUUCUAUGAUUAAUUUUCAUUAUUUUUCUCUCUAUUAUAAUAGAUUCUCGACAAGCUUAAAAUCCUUAAUCUCAGUCAUUCUCAGCAUCUUAUUAAAACACCAAACUUGCACAGUUCAAGUCUAGAGAAACUAAUUCUGAAAGGUUGCUCGAGUUUAAUUAAGGUGCAUCAAUCAAUUGAAAAUUUGACGAGCCUCGUUUUCUUGAAUCUGGAGGGAUGUUGGAGGCUUAAGAAUCUCCCUGAAAGCAUUGGCAAUGUAAAGUCUCUUGAAACUCUGAAUAUUUCUGGAUGUUCACAACUUGAGAAAUUGCCAGAACACAUGGGUGAUAUGGAAUCCUUAACUAAGCUGCUAGCCGAUGGGAUUGAAAAUGAGCAAUUUCUCUCUUCAAUUGGACAAUUAAAGCAUGUCAGAAGGUUAUCAUUGCGUGGAUACAGUUCGACUCCACCAAGUUGUUCUUUGAUUUCAGCAGGUGUUUCGAAUUUGAAACGUUGGCUGCCAACACCUUUCAUUGAAUGGAUAUCAGUGAAACGUCUUGAGCUUUCUAAUAGUGGUUUGUCUGAUCACGCAACUAACUGUGUUGAUUUCAGUGGUUUGUCUGCUCUAGAGUAUUUGAAUCUAGAUGGAAACAAAUUCUCUAGCCUUCCUUCUGGGCUCGGCUUCCUUCCCAAGCUAAGUUUGUUGUAUGUCCGGGCAUGCAAAUAUCUUGUAUCAAUCCCAGAUCUUCCCUCAAGUUUAGACUAUUUGUUUGCAUCUGAUUGCAAAUCAUUGAAAAGAUUAAGAAUACCAAGCGAGCCAAAAAAAGUAUCAGUUAUAAAGCUAGAUGGAAGUCAUUCGUUAGAAGAGUUUCAGGGCAUUGAAGAUCUAAGUAAUUGGUUCUGGUAUAUUUGUGUUGAUGACCGCAGUCAUUCAUCAAGUAAAUUACUGAAGAGCGUUGUUGAGGUACUAUUUCUUUCCGUCUCUUUUUCGCACAAAAAGAAACACACACAAUUGGCACAUACAUUGAAUAAUGUCUAAAUUCUCAGCAAUCCUUAGAAAUCAAUAUGUAUAUGGGCAAUUAUUAUUAUUAUUAUUAUUAUUAUAUUUAAAAAAACAAAUAUCAUCUUUAAUAAUAUUUUUUAUUUUUCUUAUUUAAUCUAAAAAAUUAAAUAUUAUGUUUAAUAAUAUUUUUUUUAUUAAAUAUUUAAAGUCUGAUUGGUUUUAUUUUUUAUUUCUUGAUUUUAUGAUAAUAUAUUUAUACAGACAAUGUGCAACGGUCGUCACGGGUAUUUUAUUCGUAUUCAGUACAUUCCUAGUGAGAUGCCAAAAUGGAUGAGCUACAGGGGAGAAGGAUGCUCAUUGUCAUUCCAUAUACCUCCAGUCUUCCAAGGCUUAGUUCUUUGGUUUGAUAAGGAUGAUAAGGACACUUCCGUUAAAAUUAUUAUAAGAAAUAAUAGCAAUGGUAUUUGCUUGUUUAAAUGUACGCAAUGGGCUUAUCAUCCAAAAAAUGGAUGUAUAAGAUACAUAAGUAGAAGUAAAAUGGCAAUGGAAGAUUACUGUGCAGAUGACGAAUUGGAACUAUCCAUUUAUUCACGGCAACGGGGGUAUUCACUGCGCAACGAUGAUUCAUACCAACCCGCAGACAUUAAAGAAUGUGCGGUCCAUGUGAUCGCAGGGAAGUCAGAUUCAUUUGAAGAGUUGGCAGUGAGAACAGAUACUGUGAUGCCUUCACCACCGCUGUAUCAUCUGCUUCCUCAUCCCCCAUUGUGGUUCGAUUACAGCGUCUACACCUAAGCAAUGGACUGACUUUUUAUUUGCGAAGCUGCAAAACCAUAGCCUCAGUUCAACUUUGGUAAGAACAUAUUUCAUUUAGUUAUUUUUAUUCUAUUAUUUAAUUUAUGAAUUAAAUAUUAUCUUUAAUUAUUUUAUUUUUUUAUUUAAUCUAAAAAAUUAAAUAUCAUCUUUAAUAAAAACAAUUAUUAAAUAUUUAAGGCUUUUUGGUAAGAAUACAUAUUUCCUUUAGUUAUUUCUAUUUUAUUCUAUUUAAUUUAAGAGAUUAAAUAUCAUCUUUAAUUAUUUUAUUUUUCUUAUUUAAUCUAAAAAUUAAAUAUUAUCUUUAACAAUAUUUUUUAUUAAAUAUUUAGAGUUUGCUUGGUUUUAUUUCUUUUCUUGAUUUUAUGAUAAUAUUUUUCUUAUUUAAUAUAAAAAAUAAAUAUUAUCUUUAAUAAUUAGAUCUAUCGAAUAUCACUUAAAAAUAAAUUAUAACUUUAAUAAUUAUUUUUUGAAAAACAAAAAGCCAACAAUCACUAACAUAUUUUAUUAAAAUCACUUUAGUUUAUUUAGAAAAUAUUGAAAACUGAUUUUUGUUUUUUACAUUAAAAUAAAAAAUUGAAUAAUGUUUUUAUAUUUUAUUUCAAACUCGAUAUUUUAAAACAAAAAUGAAAAAGAUGUGAUAUUGACCUUUUUAAUUUAACUUUCUUUUCAAAUUUGAUGGUUUUUUAGGAGAGGGGUAUCUUUGACGUUGAUUGACGUGAGAGUACAAGAUCAUUUUACAUAGAGAUGCUUGAAAUUGCUCCAAAUCAGUACGAUACUUUCAUCUGACAUGUUGAUAUGUAUUUAUUGGCUUGAAGAUUAUUUUCCAAGCUUGGAAGUUUUAUUGAAUUCUCUUUGAAAUCUUUUCCAUCCGCUGGACAACCUAGCUGUUAAUUAUUAUGCAUGAUGUAAUUUAUAUUUUCAAGUUACAAAUUUUGAUGAAUAUUGUUUCAUUUUUUUCCUCACUUCAAAAGAUGAAAAUCCUUGAUGUUAGUUAGAAAUAAAUUGGUUUUCUAGUAAGAGAUUAUUUAUUGGAAUAUAGUAUUUGAGUUGGUUAUAUAUAAUUUAAAAUAAUUAAUGAAAAUUACCGAUAUAUAGGAAAGUUUUGAGAGCAUCCUUAAUUAGUCUAGUAAGUAAAGUGUUGUUAGUUUUGACUAUAAGAUCUUGCUAUGUAUUAUUGCAUGGUUUUUACUAUUUUUAGGCAUUUUUCUUUUGGUAUAUACAACUUUUGUUUUUCUUGCCGUUUGUUAUUAGCUUUAUGGCACCAACACCAAUUAAUAAUAAAUCUUGAACUAUUAUUAAAUAAAGAAAAAAUAUAAACAUUGUUAAAACACCAAACUUGAAUUGCUCAAACCUAAAGAAACCCUAUGACAAUAAUCUAAUUUAGAAAAUAAUUAAUUUAUCCUUGUAGUCUAAGAAAAUAGUAUUUAAUUCUUAUGUUUUCAUAUACAUCUAUGAUUUAAUAUGUUGAUUGAAAUUGGCAAGUGAGUUUACUCGCAUAUUGUUAUAUUGGUUUUGAGUUCAAAUAAAUGUUUAAAAAGGAAGUUUUUUCAUGAAUGUAACCCUUCAUGUAUUCAAUAUGAAUGAUGGGAGAUUUUGAUGUCUUGUGAAUGCAUUUAUUUAUAUAUCGAUGAUUUUGUUAAGAAUUGGUUGGUAAAAAACUUAAUUUCGAUAUAUAAAAACCGAAGAGAGAACAAUAAAUAGAGAGACUAGUAAAGAUUUUAUGUGCUUUUUUUUUUUUUAAUUGGAUUACCUUUGUCUUUUGUUUCAAGUAAAAUUCUAGUAUAUAUCACUAAAUUAAGAAUUAAAGGUCUAAUUAUAUGAACACAAUUUUAAAGACUACAUCAACUACAUUUCAUAUGCUCAACUCUAAGCAAAUUGAAAUUUCAAGGCCAUUUGUAUCUUGAAAACACAAUCUCAAUAAUUUUAAUAUUGAAUUAUUAUUUGUUAGGUAACUAAGAUUUGUUGACUUGAAAAAUAGCACUAAGGAACACAAAUUCGUACUGUUUAUCUUCUUGGCAUUGUUCAAAGGAAUGCAAAAAGACACUCCAAUUGUGAAAAUGUAUUAUUGUCAUAAAGUAAAACUUCCAAAGAGUGAAAUAAAGAGCAAGAGCAAAAAAAUAAUUUGUGUGUGUAUAAGCUAAUUGAAAUGAAGAUUAGAAUAAAAAGGAUAAAAAAGUGAGAGACUCGUUAAGAUUUUAUGUUAAUGCUCAACAUGUUCUUUCUUAUUUAUUUUUAAUUGGAUUACCUUUAUCUUAACGAGUGAAAUAAAGAAACACUCCCCCAUCUUUUUUAUUCCCUUUCCCUUCUUUACAUGGCUUACUCAAUGAAAAAGCAAUUAAACACCCCAUUUGAUUUUCAAUCAAUAUGAGAGUGAGAAAGAGAGAGGCCAAGGUGGUCUUUGAAUAUUUUCUUCUUUUUUGUCUCGCUCACUGGGGCAAACCAUUUUUUUCAAAAUUUUGAAUAGCAUGCCAUCAAAAAGAAUUUUGUUCAAUCCCAAUCCCACAUACACUUUGUUAUUUUCCAAUCCCUCCCUAGUUCUGCAACCAUUUCUCUACUUUCUAUGCUCUUGGCUUGCUAAAAACUAAAGAAAACACAUUGCUCUAGUUGCCUGCCUUCACUCUUCAGAUUGCUCAACAAAACCCUUGAGACCUUCUCCAUAGUUAACAUACCACAUAAUGGCUACUCUAAAAAAUUUAGCCAUAAACAAUGAACACCUUAGGCAAUCAACGUCCCUUCCUUCAUAAUAUGCAUCGCCCAUAAAUCUUUCUUUUGGGAUGUCGUCGGGAGUUUAAUCUCCGAGUGUAAAAAUUAUGUAUAAAUUUCCAUUCUUUCCUUCCAUCCAUUACUUGUCCUCUAUGAAGAUUUUAUGUAUGAAACCUCGGAAUCUUUUCAAGUAUAACUUGGGAUCAACAGCUGAGAUAGACGUGGGAUCCACUUGUAUGCAUGCUCUAGCUUUUUGCUGAUAUCAUAAUCCUGGAGGAUGUCAAUGAUACCAAAGUGAAGAACUACAUUGAAGAUCUCUUUACCAUUGUGUGAAGGUGUUGAAUUGUUACUUCCACCCCCCAUCCACUGAUCCAUUUCAGUAGUCCUCAUUACAUGCUCGGCUCUUGCAGGCACAUUUGCCCCCAGUCAGAUGAAUGGCCCCCUGGAACAGAUUUCAUAUGAGUACUACAAGCAUGCAACGCCAGUUAAAAUCUUGACAUUGCAUCACACAAUCACCAAAAUUCAAAGUAACAAAACGAAGAACAAAAUGUGAUAACAAUGACAAUGACACUUUUCAUCAUUAAUUUUCCUUUUCACAUUGAUUUUCAAUGUUCCGGGCAGAUAAAAUAGCAUUGAUUUACAACCAUGGUUUUAAGGCAUCAUUAUUGGCAAAAACAUUGUAGGACAAAGCAGACUUAAAGAUCAAUGCUUCAGUUGUCAAUCACAUUAAUAAUUUAUAUUUGAUCGUCUAAAAGGGCCUAGAAUAGGACCAGGUAAAAGUUUGUUUUUAUCUAAGAAAGCAAGAAGGUCUCCACAAACUACCCCCAAUUUCGCCACUACAGCCUAAGUCACUUUGAGUCAUUCCAACAAAUAGGAAUUGAAUUCAAAGGAAUAAAUCAUUAAUUAAAUGCAGGGCUCCAAUGUGGGAAAGGGAAAAUGAUUCACUAUUAAAAAGAAAAGCUCAAACACAAAUUAUAGCUUCACUUUUUGUGAAUUAUAUCUCAAAUUUCAUUGGCUGGAUGAUUUAUUGAUAUUUUAAGAAAGCAGUCUUCAUUGCUUUUCAAAACCAUACUAUGGGUCCAUAGACAACUAAAGUUAAACAUGUGGCACAUACCUAGUAGAAAAGAAGAUGCCACAACAUUGCACUUCAUUGCUUUUCAAAACCAAACUAAAGUGCAAUGUUGUGGAAUCUACCUAAUGAGUUCAUUAAACCAUGACCGUUCCAGGCAAAAUACAAAGUUUAGAUCGAGGUCCUUAAGUGUGGUUGUUUCAUCAAUUUCACCAUCAAGCUUGUAAGUCGUGCGUCCAUGAAAAGAGCCUUUCAAGUCAAAGCGUUUAUGGAUACGGUACUCGGAACAAAACAGGUUUCUCAUUACAACAAAAUGAGUCUAGAAUUACAUUGCAUUGUGAACAGUAAUUAGAAUAUGAUUAUACAUUAUGUAGAAAGAACAUCUCAAUGAAAACUGUACCGUCGUGAUUAUACCUUUCGACCUCCCACUGGUUUAACACAAUGUACACCAAAGAAAUUUGUUACCAAGGAGUUCUUGUACUGGCAAACAUGUUGGUAGUAACUUGGAAGCAUCUUAAUAAGAACCUGAAUAUGGUUCACAAUAGGUUGUGAAAUCUAUCCACAUGAUAAAAAUUAAAAAUAAGUGUCUAAGACUUAAAUUGGUAUAUAGAACCAAAUUACUUGCCCUACGUAUUGCUACUUGAGUAAUAAUCACUUUCAUACAUUUGCUGCUUUGUAACAUGUUGAAUUGCGAAUUUAGGGUAGCUAAAUUACUAACCUUGACUUCAGAUUUUUUCACAGUUUUGAUUAUGAAACGAUCAUCUUGAGUUAGAUAAAAGAAGCUUCCACUCUUCCCAGGGGAAGAAAAUUCUCUAAGUGCAUCACUUCCACAAAUCGUUGCAUGUAAUUCACUGGAUCUAUUGAAAACAAUUCCCUCAGAUAUCUAAACACCAAACAAACCAACCACCACCAUAACAUAGGAAAUCAGAGACAAAUUCAAUAUCUCCUUUCUUGGACAUUCAAUAGAAGAUUAAAAAUGAAGUAAUAAAGCAUUAUAUGUUCCAAAAAUCCGUAAAAAAAUAAUAAAAAUUCCUAAAAAUAAUACCUGAAUACCAUGGGACAAUAAUCCUUCCAUCUGAAAUCCAUAGAUUGAUGUGGAAGCCUAGACUUUGAUACUUCCGGUGGAAACCUUGUCCAGAACUUUUCUUUAGGAUAAAACAUAGAAGCCUCCACAUUAUCAACAAUAUCACAAGUAAUAUCACUAGCCUCCCCAUCCAACUCCUAAAUACAAAUCCGAGGAAAAUUCCCAUCCACUGAUGACCUCUUCCUCCCUCCCCCAGCCCCAACUACUGGAUCCAAUGCCACCCCUUUAAAAUCCUCUCCACCACCACCAAGAACUCUCCCAUUCACAUUCCCACUACCAAAUGUAAAAAUUCCUUUCCCUUUAGGCACCCCAUUUUCCAAGUACCCUUCAUACCUCUUCCCAUUAACCCAAACCAAUACCCGUUUCCCAGAUAUCACCCCAUGUUUCCACUCACCAACAUACUCAUUCCCAUUACACCACCUAUACUUCCCUUCCCCAUCCUGCAAAUUAAACUUCCAAAAACCUUGAUAAACAUCCCCAUUGGCGUACCUUGUCUCACCAAAGCCAUGCUUUUUAUCACUAAUCCAAUUUCCAAUAUAAACUUCACCAUCUACACCAAUAAAAGUACCAUAACCAUCCAUUCUCCCUAACUUAAACUGACCUUCAUAAGUAGCUCCUGAUGGCCAAGAAAACUUCCCACCUCCAUUAGCCUUCCCUCUCCUCCACUCUCCUUCAUACAUACACCCAUCACACCACAAAUACUUCCCCUUCCCAUGUGGCACACCAUCCACCACUCCCCCAGCAUAAAUAUCCCCAUUGGGCAACACCUUCUCCACCAAGGAACAACCAGUGUCAAUACGAGAAGUGAUGGUGGUGGUCAUCGCGUCACGCGUGGGAGUCACGCGCCGGUAGUUGGGCUGGGAUCGGGUUCUUGUGGUCACUAUAUGGAACAAUGAGGGGACUAGCAAAGACACAUCUUUGCUGUUUUUGGCUUUGAUUUUGGUGUUUUCUGAUAGUGUGGCCAGAAGGGUCUCUUGAAUUUUGCUUUUUAUGCCGGUAAAUGCACCGGCGGAAACAUUUUCGGUGAUUGUGCUAUAUUCUUAAACGGUUUUCUUGCUCUUUUGUGAGUCAAAAAAUAAAAACAAAAAAUGUAGCUUUCUUGUUGCUUUGAAGAAUGGGCGAGAGAAAUGGCAGAAAAAACAGUGGAAGGGAAGAGAAAAAGCAGAAGACCAAAGACAGAGAGAGAGGGAAUGGGCCGUCUUUUGUUGUUGUUUUUGGUGUCUGUCUAGUCUAGGGAAGCUUGUCGGCAGGCUUUGUUCCAGAGAGGGAUCAUUUUUUGUGUUUUAAGAAAUAUAGGGAGUAAAAUGGGAUUAGGCUUUGGGUAUUUUUAGUAAAACCUACACUGUUAAGGUCGGGUAAUAAAACAAUAUUAUUUUACUAAAAAAAAAUCAAUAAAUUGAGAAUUGGUUAAAUAACCAGCCAUUUCCGAUUUUAUAACGGUGAUUUCAGGUGAGUGAGGUAUUGUUGAGGAAUUUAGGGUUUAGUUGGGGGUAUUUUAGGGAUAUUUGGGAGAAAGGGAAGAUAUAAUUAAGGUAGGAAGAACAUUUCUUGAUUUAUGUAAAUUGAUUAAUUUAAAGAAGGUUUGAUUGAUAAUGCAACCCACAAACAUUUAAACAUUUGUAGAGUGUAAUUGACUAAAAAAAAUGAAUAAAAGACAUUAUGAACAAAUCAUUCUUUAUUAUUUAAUUGAUUUGUCAAAGUUUCUAAUUUUGUUUUAAAACUUGUUUCAAUUGGCUUUUUUUUUUUUUGCUUUUUUUUAUAUUUUAGAUAUUUUUAUAAAAAAAAUAAAGUAAUUAUUAUUGUAUAUAUUUAAAUUAAACUAGAUAUGAUAAUUAACAAUCAAAUUAAAGUUUAUAUGAUUUUAGUGAUUGUAUAUUUUUUUUUAAAAAAUAGAUUAAAAAAUGAAAAAAAAACAUAUAAAAAUAAAAAUACAAAUCGUAUCAAUUUAAUAUGGGAUAUUAAUAGGUAUAUGUGAGUAGUUUAGUUUAAUAGAUGGAGUACACAAUGGUAGGUGUUCCAGGUUUUUUUUUUUUUUUUUUGUAUAUUCUCUCUUUUUUUCACUUUUUGUGAUACUAAAUCAAAUAUAUUAUUACUAGAUAUAAAAUAAUUUAUUCAUUGCUUAAUUAAAAUAUUAUAAAAAAAAUUAUCUUUUACCAAUUUAAGAUUUUUAUUAUUUAAAAUUUGAGAUGAUAAUGUAGAAUAAUUUUGCUUGGACCGACAACAUCUCCAGCAUAUACACAAUACUAUUUUAAUUUUUUUAGUAAGGCAGUGCAUCUUAGUUGUACAAGACAAUGCAUGGUUUAUCCAAGCAAAAUAAUUUGCUUAGACUUUUCUUAAAUUCUUCAAACCCUAAACAUGAUUUUCAUCUCAAAUUAUUCUUUAAUGAAGUUGAUUAGAAUUUGAUCAAUUUCACCAAGGAAGAGAAAAAAAAAACUAUUAUUAUGCUCCCAAUCUCUCCCUCAACUGUAAUUAUAAAACUUGAUUUGAUAAUCAAUUUAAAAUAAAAUUCAAUAUUAAAAAAAUUAAUCUAAAUUAAUCAGAAUUGAUUUUAUUUUUUAAAAAAUACAAAAAAUAGUCAAUAAAUUAAGAAUUAAGUUUUAUUCUUUAUAACUUGGGUUUUUGACCAAAUUAAGGUAUGUUAUUUUUUUUAUAUUUUUAAUUUAUCCUCUAAAGGUUUGAACAUUGCUCUGUUUUUUUUUUUUUUCCAUUUUAUUUCUCAAAGCUAUAGUGGUAUAUAAAUUUCUUUAGCUGGUGUUAAAUCUUCUAUCCAGACUUUAAACAAUGACAUGUGGGAAGAAAACAAGUGAAGUGUCAGUCACUAAUUACCAUAUAUACAGAAACUGUCACAAUUAAUAAGGUAUACAGAACCAUUAUAAAAGCUAAUUUUUAAUGGCAGUUUCCUCGGUGGAUGUCCAUACAAGAAAGGGCAUCAAUUAGAAUAGGUGUCUUAGUUAUAGGUAUAUGCCCUAACUAUUCUUCAAGUAUAAAUUUACACCAUUGUCAUUGUAAAUAUUUUAUUUAAAAAUGUUUAUGGAUGGCAAUAGAUAAUAACUUGGCACAAGAACUAUAUCACAACUUAAAAAUAAGUUUAUCCAAGUCAAUUUUAAAUAUUAUGAAUAACAAAGUUAUUAAAUCUAUUUCAAUUCAUGAUUUAGCCCAAAACCCAAUACAAUUUUAAUUUUAGGAAAAAAAAAAAAGUUUAAGAGAAGAAAUUUAUUGAUUAAAUAAGGAUAGUAAUUUCACCAAAUCCAAUUGAUACCAACUAGAAUGGAUAUUGAUUUUUUAGACCUGAUAAGAUUUAAGUCAAAAUAUAAAAAGUCAAGUGUUGGGUUGGGUAGGAUAUUGAUUUACUCAACGGAACCGAAACAAAUAAAUAACCUUAAAUUUUAAAAAAAUUACAUGUAUACCAAGCCAAUUAUAAAUUAAAUAAUUGUAAAUUAUAGCAUUCGAGCUUUAAGUCUAGAUUAUAAAUACUUGAUAGGUACUCGAAAUCUAAUCAAGUUAGUUUUUGGUAUAAAAAAUUUAUACAAAGUCAAACUUGACCAAUGAGUAUCCAUAGCCAUCCCUGUAAACAAAUGCAUGUGUUUCCAUGAGAAUGAGUUGUCGAAGAAGUUCAAAGGGCAAGGAGGGAGAGUGCUUUAAAAAAAAUAGAGUAGAGAAUAAAACAGGGGAGCAAUGCUUGAGAACAUGCAUUGCUGAACUUCUUGCUUGAUUUCGCCAUGUUAUGGAAGCAUAAAACCUUCACAAUACUGCUUCACACCUCCUUUUCUAUGCUAUCAUGCCAUGAACAUAUGAUGACAAGAGGCCUUGCAAGGACACAUCAAGGUGAUGUUUAAUAUAUAUAUAUAUAUAUUUACUUUUAGAAUGUUUUAAUGUUAAAAAUAAAUUUUAAAAAAUAAAAAAUUUCAUUUCAAUUUAUUUCUAAAUAAAAAAUAUUUUAAAAAAUAACAUUUACAAAAAAUUAUCUUAGUGCAUUAGAAGAAGCAAAAUCCAACUCUAAUAUGAUCUAUAAAGUGACCAACCAAACUUAGCACCUGGAAACUAAGCGCGCAUUUGACUAAAAAAAGAACUUUUAUUUCUUUAAGUUCUUAAGAGUUCUUUUUUUUCUUUCUAAUCAUUUUAUAAAACAUUUUAUAAAAUUCCUAAAACCAAGUUUUUGAGAUUUGAAAUUAACAUGAAAUCAUUUUAACAACAUAUAUUAUCAAAUACCUUUACGAUCAUAGCUACAACCACAACUAAAAGCCUAGGCCCUAAGCCUUUUUUUCUUCUUCAGGUUCGCAUUCAAACGAAUAAAUUCAUCGAAAAUUUCCGUCUGUCUCAACAUUCAAAUCCAAAAUGAUAACAUAAAAAUUAAACUCUCAUCCUAGAUGAGCUAAAUAUUUCGAUCCAGACUCAGACAAGAACUAGAUGUAUUUCUAGGGUACGCAGAACCAUCAUUACUUGUUGUUGUAUACUGUAAAUGUCAGUUGAUUCUUGCAGUACUUCUGGAAACAAUUUUUUUUUUCUUUUUUCCUUUGAAACAAAUUUAUUUUUCUCUUUGAAUAUAUUCAGGAAAGAGGAAAUAAAGAAUGGUGUAAAUCAAAAGAAAAGAAAGGUGCAGAUUAUGCUGCUAGUCAAAAUUUUGAUCAGUGGAUACUUGGCCAAAGAUAUCAGGACAUGAUUCCCAGUUGCCCCUUUCCUUGGCUUCCCAGUAACCACCAAUAUAGCUAUAAGUUUCACCGCCUUUCUCCUUCACAAACCACCGAGGCUUCCAACCUCUCUCUUCCAUCUUCCGUGCCUGUGAUUGUUGAAAAGAAUUCUUAUUAUCCUCUAAUUUACUACAUUUCAUAAACAGUAGUCAGUAGAAGUGUCGUGCAAGUGUGUGUACAAAUGCAUUGGUGUAAAUACAGCAAGAUCAUUCCUUGAUGCAUGCACGUACCUGUCGUUGCCUCUGCUCUAGUCGUAACUUCUCUUCAUUGGCCUUUGUAUACUCUCCAUUUUCCAAGCAUCUCUGAUCAGGUCUCAGCCUGGAGUCUGUUGAUGGCAGUUUCUCCUGCGUAUAAAUUUAAUGUCAGCAGCUACGAAUGGAUACCUUGUUCUCUACUGCAGAGGAGCAGUGAGACAUGGCAUUUCUUGUAAAGAAAGAUAUUUAUCAUAUUCAAAUCUUUCACCAACCUUAAGCUCCUGAUGCGGAACAAUAAAGAAUAAGAAUUAAAACAGGAAAAGAAAUAAGCUUUAGGGGAAAGAAAGAAGCUAGAGAAGAGGAAGAAAGGGGAUUGGAGAUAUGCAAAUUCUGCAAUUUUCAUUAAUCAUCAAAAGUACCUCUCAAAAUGACAAAAGAACAUAUAAAUAGUAAACCCUAAAAGUAAACCCUAAACAUCCUGCUAUUUGGGCUCGGCCCAUCAAAUCGAACUGUUUAAUAUAAAUAACAAUGAGUAGGCCCAGAUGGGCUAAAUAAAUAAAUAACAAUAAGCAGGCCCAAAUGGGCUAAAUAAAAUAACAAUGAAAUAGGCCCACAUGGGCUUAGUCUCCCAACCAAAGUGUGACAGGCUGGGCCAUCCUACGCCGUCUCCGUCCAUAUACUUGUGUAAUCUGUGGUGUGGGCCUGGUGUCUCCACCAGCUCCGGUGUGAGCUCAUUCAGAGUUAUAGCAAAGCGUGUUAGAUUGUAUCUGGUCAGAUGCUUUGAUGGUUUACUCCGCUUCCAGAGCAAAUGGGGCUCUGAUCCGUUUGCAUUCCUUGAACCACCAUUAAUUUUAUAGUGCAUGCUAUCAUCCCAUUUUCCAAAUAAACUUGCCACUGUUUUACCAUUCUUAUCUUGAACACCACCUAGUACCUAGAGAACAAAUAGUAUUGCUGCAAUUAAUGGUAAUGCCUAAUCAUGAUUCAUUCACAAAAUGAGAUAAUGCAAUGAGAACCUGAUAUGAGGGAAAACAUCAACAGACAAAUAUUGAUAGUCUUAUGGGUGACAAGCUAAUGGUCAAAUGAUUUUUCACCAAGCAAGCUUGAUAUCAUUACAAAAAAUGUGUUGGAAAUUGUUGCAUGAAAGGGCAGAACCUCUAAAGUAAUGUGCACGGGUAUACAAAUUUGACUAUACAACCGACAGAAAAGAAUAAGCCAGGAAUCAAACUAUCAUUAGAACAAAAAACCUGAGCUUAGGCUUAGCCUGUAGGAUACAAGUUUAACAAACUUAAAAAGCAAAAGAGACCUUGGAGACAAAACAUAAGCGAAAUAUUAUACAGCAUGAUGUGGACCUGGAAAAAGAAAUUUUUAGAAAAAGAGAUAUUUUCUAAUAAAUCUUCGAGGAUAGAAACUCCCAAUAUAUUCCAGGAACACUAGCGUCACUAUUCUUUCAAGCAGUCAAGUGCUUCAGUAGUACAAUGACUACACAUUAGUUGCUUUAUUAAAAUGAAAUUCAAGAUGGAUCAUUUACUUUGAUGAAAAAUAUGGAAAUGGGGAUAUUGGAACCUGGUGGGGAUUCCUGUCAAUGAGUGACUGCUCUUUGAAUUUUAGCUUGCAGGAGUAUUUCUGAUUCCCCUGUAUCUUCAUUGUACCAUAAUGAUCACAGUAUAGUUUCCCUAAAAUGAGGUUGUAAAUGGAUGUUGUCACCUGAUAAGAGAAAGACAGCUUAGCAGGAAUCUUAUAGAGAAUGGUAAGAGCUGUAAAAUGCCAAAAACAAACCUUACUCCACUGGAAAAUUUCUCCAUCAUCAAACUCUAGUGUUAAGGUGCCAACAGGAUCAAGUUGAAUUGAACGACCCCAAAAUUUACUUUUUAAAUCACUUUCACCCCAAAAUUUCCAGCCUCGACCCUCACAAUGGCAGGCAACAACCAUUGGGUGAUGACUAACCUGUUUCAAGAUGAGCCACAUUGAUAUGUUAAAAAUCAGUAGUGGCAUUUGCUACUUACUGACAAUGUGUAAAUGUGUGCAAAUACGCUUUCAAUUACAUAAUAUUUUUCUUUUCAGAAGCAACCAUAAAAAGGCAUGUCAUAUUAGACGUGUAUAAAUAAAGAACGAUUGCUUAUGGUGCUUCUAGCAGUGAUAGAGACACCUUCUCAGAGAUAAAGCGAAUGCCUUUAUCAGGAUAAUCGGCCUCAUAUGUUUCCCCUAGUAGUGGAUUGAAUGGCUUGCAAUGUCUUCCAUCAGUAGAGGCAUAUCCUGAUACUGCAAACGCUGCCACAUUGAGUGCUCUCAUAAGGCUAUUACCCUACAAAAAAUAAGCCAAGAUCGUGAGCACAUUUAUUAAGAGAACAGUGUAGGGUGAGAGGGUGAUUUGUCCAAAAUUCUUCCAAGAAAACUAAAAUACUGCACACUUGGCACUGAGAGCACUAGGAUUUAGGACACACUUCCACAUACAAGCACAGAGACCAUGCAGCAGCAACAGUCUGAUUAAUAGUAGUUCACAACAGAGCAUUUAAAGUAUAACUUCCAUGUCCAUAGCUUCUUAAGAAAUCUUGUGAUGGCUGUAAUAAAACAAUAAUAGGCGCAAGCAACAAGUCUCUUUGGUAGACACACUAGUUUCAAGUAGGAAAAAUCAUAACUUUGCUUUUGCAAGACAAGUAAAACUAGCAUGGUUUCAAAAAUAGUAAACGCUAGUGGCAGGCAUACCCCAAAAAGUUUGUAACCAGCAACGGUACAUUGACUAAAUGACAAGUAUGUGGUUUUUUUUUAAAUCAACUGUCAGAAAAGGAUAAGAAACAACAAGAAAGGAUGAACCUACCAUUUUACCAAAUUCAUAGGCUCGAUCUAUGUUGUAACCUAUUUUUGGGUCCCCAUAAAAAAUAAAAUAAAUAGCCAAAAAAGGUUAGAAAAAUAACAGGAGGCAUGAAGCGCCCAGAAAAUGGUUAGAAAAAUUAGUCAAGGAGGUUAAAAAUACAGAGAUGAAUUUUUGACAAUAUAUUCUUGAAUGAUGAGAGCCCUGGUAAGAAAAUUUGAUUUUUUGAGGAGAAAAGUCCAAAUUUGGAGAUUUAUGGACUUAAUUGGAUUUUUAAUUGAAUUUAUAAAGGGUUUGAUUGCAAGAAAAAUUGAUUUUUAAGUCAAUUUGGGCUUUAAUUGGAAGAAAUUUAAGUUUUGGGGCCAAAAUAUAUUUUUUAGGAAUUUAUUAGGUCAAAUCAGGGGCUUAAUUGCAUAAAUAUUGAAGUUUAAUGGCCAAUUAGGGGCUUAAAUGUGAAAAUCCGAAACCAGGGACCAAUUUGGAAAAGGCGCGAAGAUAGAGGGGGCUGUAUUGAAUUGAUUCAGGGGCCUAAUUGAAGAAAUUGGAAGUUUAUUGAUCAAUUGAGGGUCAAAUUGCAUAAAUCAGAGGACAAGGAUCAAAGUGGAAAAGGCGGCCAAAUAUGAGGGCGGCAAUUGAAUUUUCGAAGGAUGCAAUUGAAAUGAACAAAAGAAAAUUGAGGGUUGAUUUGAAAAUGGAAACGUUCUGGCGCCACAUUUAAAUGAAACGACGCGUUUUGUCCAAAACGACGCCGUUUCAUGUAAAAAAAAAAAGAAAAAAAAAAAAGAAAAGGAGAAGAGAACUAACCGAAGGGAGGAGAGAACUGACCGAAGGGGGGAAGGGAGAAGAAAAAACCCGAGACUAAGAGAGAGAGAGACUGAAGGAGAGAGAAACAGUUGAACUAAAGUAAUAAACACAUAAAACUCAAGGAAACGAAACUGGGAGAAGGGGGAAGAGGACAGGAGCCGGGGAAGAGCUUAGAGAAAACGAAGACCGAGCAGCACCGCCAGGUUACCGAACCGUUGGGAACCGCCGCUUUGAGCCACCAACCUCCGCUGCAGCACCAUCAACACGGACGUUCGACCAACAGCAUCGCCUCCGCCGUGCCAGGUAUUCUUCUCCCCCUGCAUUUUUCAUUUUGCCCUUACUUUAGUUCUUUCCUCAUGCAUGCAGAAUCGUUCUGCAUGCAGGAGUUAGGGGAAGGGAAAAUAAUUCCCUUCCCCGUUGGGUUCUUAUACUGGGCCGGGUUUCCGGCCCAGUUUUGUUAUUAGUUUUUUUGGGCCAGACCGAGUCUGGCCCAAAGAGAAGUUUUUGUUGGGCCGAGAUCGGCCCAGCCACCUUGCGGGCCGAGAUCGGCCCAAUCCUGUUUUGGGCUGAUGUUUGGCCCAUUUCCAACUGGGUUGGGUUCGGCCCAUUUAGUUGGGCCGGCCCAGCCCGUUUUUUAUUUUUAUUAUAUAUAUUAUGAAUUAUAGUAGAUUAUAAUAUAUAUGUGUGUAUAUUGUGUAUAUAUAUUUUUACUUUAAAAAAAAAUAUAUUUCGAAAAAAUCUAAAAAAAAAAUAUUGUUGAUUUCCUUGAAUAUUUUUGUCAAAAUGGGUUAAUGUUGGUUGGUAUUUUUAUACUGUAAAGAUACAAAAUCAAUGUUAAAAAUACUUGGUUUUCGUAAAAACAUCAAAGAUUUUCAGAAUAAGAAAUGUUUUUGCUUUCAAAAAAUUUUCUAAAAAAUCCCUAAAAAUAUUGUUGAUUUUUCUGCAUUUUUUUUUAUUAAAGUGGAUUAAUAUUGGGUUGUAUUUUUAUACCGUAAGGAUACAAGCUCAGUAUUUAAAUACCCGAUUUUCGUCAAAACCUAAAAAACAAAAAAAAUAAUAAUAAUAUUUUCAAAAAUUGUUUUGUUUUAAAAUACGGCCUGGUCUCUCCAAUAUAUAUAGAUAUAAACAUUAUAACAUCAUAUUUUUUUUACACAACAAAGAAAAUUUUCAAAACAAUAUAUGAAUUAGCAUGCAUUUUGGCUUUAAUGACCAGUUUAUUUAAGCCAUGAGAACUAGGCCAAUAUUUCAAAAAAAUUCUAAAAAUCUUUUUGUUUUCUCUUAGUAUUUGGGAUUACGAAUUUAUACGUAAAACGUAUUCCUAAAUAUUAUUUUUUUGUAUAGACGUUAGAACGGUUAGGAUUUUACUCGAUAAGAUAAAAGACCUUCUUACUGAGGAGGAUUUUUCUUGAACCAUAGACAGACCCACGACUAGAAGUACAAUAACAUCUUAGUUUUUAUCAGACAAUAAAACAAUGCAGCUUACUUUAGGUAGGGCGUAUUUGGGGUGCUAAUACCUUUCCUUUACGCAACCAGUCCCCAUACCCGAUCUUUGAGACCAGUUAGGGUUCUUAGUGACCAAAAUACUAAGUGGCGACUCCCAUUCCAUUUUCUACUCACAAAAGACAAUAUUUUCUUGUAUCCCCAUAGAUAUGGAUAGAUUUACAUUGUAGAUAAGAAAAUGGAACAACCAAUAUAAUUUUCGCCGCGACGCCGCACACGUGCGACAAUCUAGAAGGAACGAGUAUUCCAAAUCCUCAAAACAUUUCUGUAAAGAAGAGAUGGGCUCAUUGAAAUAAACUGGAAGACAAACUCUAGUAAGAUCCUUCCCGAUAUUAUCUUUAAUCAUUGACCAAAGACUGACCCCCUUCUCCUUCUCAACUGGGUCAGGCAAUUUCUUUCGCCUCAUAACACAAGGGUAGUUAGAUCCAACAAAUUUGAUACAGGAAUCCAUGCCAUCUUCAAUAUCAAGCGGGCCUUCGUCUUCAUCAGAAUCAUAUGGUGUUUUCUGAAAUUCAGAUUCAGCACUUUUAAACGAACUUGAUGAAAGAAAAUCUUGAGUAUCAAGGAAUUCAUCGUCAUCAUCUGUUUCCUCCUCUGCAGCAUCAUGUCUGUCAUGAUCAUCAUCGGAGCCACUUGCACUUCCCUCUACAUAAAUUCCACACAAAGAGGGUCAAAAGAUAAAGUUAAAAUGGAUGACAGAGUUCAAAAGGAAAACAGAGAAAGAGGCUAAAUAUUGAAGACACGAGCAAGAGACAGGGGGCGAGAGGCCAGGUGUUGGUUUUCAAUUAUCCAUGAGAAAUCAAUUAGAAAUAGGUAUGUAUAUAAAUGAGUUUGAUUUAAAUAGCUACUAGUAUAGCAAUCAACUUGGGAGUUUUGAAGCAGAGAAACUUCAGACAAGGGUAAAGUAACAGGCCACAGGAAUUCAUCAUAAAAGCAGAUAGAGGUGCCUCAUUUAACCCACUCACAGACAGCUCAUCAUUCGCAUACAAGGCGCCAUGCAAGGCAGCUGAAAGUAUUUCAUAGCAUCCAUUUUCAGAACAAAGGAACUUCUAACUAAGCAAAACUAUAAUUCAACCAAACAAAAGUUAACUAUAGAAUCCAUGGCUGGUCCUCCAAACAUUUCUUCUUACAUAUAAUCAGCUGCUAAAACAAAUAAACAUGCACAAGUAUUGCAUUCAAAUUUCAAUCUAACAUGAAGGAUUAACAAACACGUCAGAUUUAAUUAUUCCAUAACCCACUAUUAAUCUAUCAUCAUUACACAUAAUUUAUGUAAGAUUAUCUUUUAUCUUUGACAAUUAUUGCAUUGCUAAUAAUUUGCAAGAAAACAUACUUUUUCAAUUUCCUUUUAUUUUUUUUUAUUAUGUUAGUAGAUGCUAGAUGCUGUUUGUUUUUGUGUUUUAAAAAUAUUUUUAAAAAAAUUUGAGAUUUUUUUAUUUUUUUUAUUUACUUUAAAUUAAUAUUUUUAGAUUAAUUUAAUACGUUAAUUUUAAAAAUAUUUAAAAAUAAUUCGAUGGUUUUUAAAUAAAGUUUUUUUUAGAAAAUCAUGACCCAUCACUGGGUAUCGAAAAAACAAUUAUGGUUGAUUUAGCCUCAUCUUCUCUGCUUGUAAAAUUGAGGCAGAUUAUGAACUUAACCGAGCAAUUACGGCUUGAAAUUCCUAGCAAUUUACAAAGGAAUUUUCCUUGUUCUUUCUCUAUACAUUAUUAGAAAAACUGUCAUUGACUGAUUUAAUUGCAAAGUCUUUGCAAGAAAGCUAAAACAAUUAGAGUUUUUUAAAAUAAAAAAAAUAUAAAGAAAAAAAUAAAAAUUAAAAAUUAAAAAAGGAGCAAAAGGAAACAACCCCCGUAUUUAUUGUUCCCUUUCCCGUCUUUACAUGGCUUGAUGAAAAAGCAAACACCCCAUUAGUUGUUGCCACCAAAUUCAACUACACGCUUGAGAAAUUUCCUUGCUUUUUUCCCCUCUAAGUGUUACCUUUUACCUCUUUUAUAAUUUUGAUUAUUGCAUUGCUAAUAAUCUGCAAGAAAGAUGAUGAAAAUUUUUUAGUGAAUUCAAAAUAACAAAAUAAGGUUUGUCGAGGCUUUUCUUGGAACCUCGCUAGGGGUUUAAUUAGCGAGAAUGAAUUCUACAAAGAUAUCGGACUGUGAGUUUGUUUCACAAUAAUGACCUUGUGGGUGGACAAUCAGAAUACGUUAGUGAGACAAAAUAUAAUGAGGUUAAUAAUGGGCUUCUACCACUCAUCAUUUAUCCCCAGGGAAGGCCAGGUAGGCCUAGGCCACUGCUUCUGUUAAAAAUACACUUAAUUCAGCUUAGGCAUCAACAAUAUUUUGCAUUAGUCUUACCACUACAUUAUAAUUAUAAGAGCUGUCAAGAUUCUGUUAAGUUAAUCUUUUAACAGAUCAUAGCAUGAUAUAAAUUUGGUGCUAUAAAUUAGCAAUUGAGUUUGUUUGGUUUACUAUAUAUUUGUACGGAUUGCAAUGAUCCAAAUACAAUCAAUUCAUUUUAGUUCAAUAACAAAACUAAAAUAACACUUGUAAGGUGAUGCAUAUUCUUGCAAUAAAUAAAGCCACCAAAGGCAGAUGCGUAUGUCUAUAUAUACAUGAACUGCUGAUUCGAUUUGAACACCCCAUUUCUCCGAUUGCUGCAAUUUCAUAGCUAGCUCUUUGUUAUACACAGGUAUACACGGCUAACUCUUCUUUGCUUCUUUCUUGUUUUAAUUUCAUGUCUUUACCAAUAACAUUAAUGUGAAAGCUUUGUUUGUUUCAUGUUUAACUUCAGUUGCUAUUGUCUUAUGCUAUCUCAUUAUUAAGCUUAAAUUGCUGUAUUAUCUUCGAUGAUCACUUCACCUGUAUCAGCAAUUGCUAAAUAUUGAUUGUUCCUUAAAUUCUGCAGCUGAAAUGACAGAGCCAGAGUCUUCUCGCUCUAGACCAGAAGGGGCCUAUGAUGUCUUCUUGAGUUUUAGAGGAGCGGAUACUCGCAAGACGUUUACUGAAUAUCUAUAUGCUACCUUAAAUCAAGCAGGAAUCCACACUUUUCGAGAUGAUGAUGAACUUCCUAGAGGAGAAGAAAUCUCCAAUCAUCUCCUCAGGGCUAUUCAAGAAUCAAAGAUAUCCAUAGUUGUCUUCUCAAAAGGAUAUGCUUCUUCUAGAUGGUGUCUCGAUGAACUUGUAGAGAUUCUGAAGUGUGAAAAGAAGAAAACCGGUCAGAUUGUUAUUCCUAUAUUCUAUGACAUUGGUCCUUCAGAUGUGAGAAAACAGACUGGCAGUUUUGCAGAGGCAUUUGAUAAGCAUGAAGAGCGUUUUGAAGAGAAGUUGGUGAAGGAGUGGAGAAAAGCUCUCAAGGAGGCUGCAAAUCUAUCUGGAUGGAAUCUCAAUGAUAUGGCAAAUGGGUAUGCCUUUUUUUCUCUAAGAUUCACUUGCACACAUUUAUGGAGUCAUUAUACUCUACAUUUUUCAAUGUGAAACAAUAAAAUACUCAAUUGACUCGCUAUCAAUGACUUGCUUUUGUCUAUGAGCAGGUCUGAAGCAAAAUUUAUCGAAAAGAUUAUCAAGGAUGUGUUGAAUAAAUUAAAACACAAGUACUUGAAUGUUCCUGAGCACCUGGUAGGUAUGGAUCGGCUUGCUCGCAAUAUUUUUGACUUUCUAAGUACUGCAACAGAUGAUGUAUGCAUUGUGGGCAUACAUGGGAUGCCAGGAAUAGGAAAGACAGCUAUAGCAAAAGUUGUAUUUAAUCAACUCUGCAAUGGAUUCGAGGGAAUCUGCUUUCUUUCGGAUAUCAAUGAAACAUCAAAACAAUUCAAUGGUCUGGCUCUUUUACAAAAGCAACUUCUUCAUGAUAUUUUACAACAAGAUGUUGCUAACAUCAAUUGUGUCGAUAGAGGAAAGGUUCUGAUCAAAGAACGACUUCGUCCCAAAAGAGUUCUUGUUGUUGCUGAUGAUGUGGCUCAUCUGGACCAGCUGAAUGCAUUGAUGGGAGAUCGAAGUUGGUUUGGUCCCGGAAGUAGAGUGAUAAUUACAACAAGAGAUUCAAGUGUUCUACUUAAAGCAGAUCAAACAUAUCAAAUCGAAGAAUUGAAACCAGAUGAGGCCCUUCAGCUUUUCAGCUGGCAUGCCUUUAAGGACACCAAGCCAGCAAAAGAGUAUAUUGAGCUUUCGAAGAAAGCCGUUGAUUACUGUGGAGGACUUCCUUUAGCUCUUACGGUUAUAGGAGCUUGUCUGUCCGGGAAAAACAGAGGUAGAUGGGAAAGUGAAAUUGACUACUUGAGCAUAAAUCCAAACCAAGAUAUUCAAGGAAAGCUUCUAAUAAGUUAUCACGCACUUGAUGUUGAACUACAAAGAGCAUUCCUUGAUAUCGCUUGCUUCUCUAUUGAUAGAAAGAAAGAGUACAUCGCAAAAGUGCUAGGAGCCCGUUUCCGUUGCAAUCCAGAAGUUGUUUUGGAAACUCUCCGUGAAAGGUCUCUAAUUAAAGUAUUGGGAGAGACGGUAACCAUGCAUGAUCUAUUACGAGACAUGGGAAGGGAGGUCGUCCGUGAAUCGUCUCCCUUGCUUCUUGGAAAGAGGACCAGAAUUUGGAAUCAAGAGGAUGCAUGGAAUGUACUUGAGCAGCACUAGGUAAGAGCUCAAUGCAUAACGAAAGCACAGUCAUGCGUGUUUUCUAGUCAAACUUAUUACAAAUAAUUGUAUGAAAGUUGUAUUGAUUUUUUUCUUAGGAUAGGUAUGCGUCUUGCACUGGAUGUCAGAUCAUUAGAAGCUAAAUCAAAUGAAAUGCUUAAAUUUACUCCAAAUUAAUGGACUACAUCUCAUCGGAUCCUUCAAGCUGCUUUCUAAAGAGUUGAUGUGGAUUUGUUAACUUCAAUGUCCUUUGAAAUAUUUUCCAUCUGAUUUUACAGUUGAAAAUCAGAUUAAGCUUGCUCUUUAAAAACACAUAAAAAUAGUCAUGGAACACUUGACUGAUCAAACAAAAAAAAAAUUAUUUAUUUUCUUUUAUUGAGCUCCAUAGUUUAAACUCUCUCUUUUCACAUAAUUUUUAGUUUGGUGUAAAUAUUCUAAUGUUUUUUAUAAUCUUUAUAUUUAUAUUUUUCAAUAUAAGUACACAUAGCAUCAUUGAAUCUUUUGAUUGAAAGUAAAAGGUUUUAUCUCGUAAAAUCAUCUCUAGAAGGUUUUAUUUGGUCAGUCUUCGAAAACUUAGGGAUUAAAAAAAAAAAACUUCUUGAUUUAAUUUGGAAACCUCAAGGAGAAAAUUGAAACAAGUAUAACCUCACGGGGGAGAAGUUGAAUUCUCCCCAAACUCAGGGGUUAAUUAAAAUUAACCUUUAAAUUUCUAUCCAUGCCCAGGUGCCCACGAAAGAGAAGAGGUACAUCCACGUGAAGCUCAUUUUGGGUUUGGGUUAGUUGAAAAUAUCUAGUGGGUGGGGCUUUUUUUUCUGUUUUUCUGUUUUUUUUUUUUUUUUUUUAUGCACAGAAUACAUGAAAUAAUAAAUUUAAAUCCAACAAAUCCAAUAGAGAUAUAAUACUGUAUACGAUCAACAUGAAAGAAUUUUACGAAAAGACAUGCAAAUAUCAUAUAUUAUGAGUCUCUGCCAGUCAUAAUUCUAUUGUUGUGUAUCAUCAAUUAUCUUUCUUGUAUAGGAAAUAUCAGGUUGGAUUUUGCUGAUGACAAACUUAAUCUUAGAGAUUGCAUCUGCGGUUUUUGACCAGAUGGGUUACGCAUUAAUUGGCAUGGUGUUGGCAUUUGUAGCUUUGCUUCUUGCUGCCGUUGAACUCAUUCACAUGGCUCGAAAGGAAAGAACUAAACGGGAGGGCCUAUUGCCACCUUUUCAUCUCCAUGCAACUGGAAAGCCUGUUGGCACUAUUGUUGAGUAUUUUGGAUUGGCUGGUGCUGUCUGGCAAUGUGUUUAUUCGACUGUGGAGUAUAUGUAUACUCGUCAGAAGAAAGAUAAUCCAAUUAAGAUGUGUCUUCUACCUUUCAUUUUCUUAUUAUGCGUGGUGAUUUCCAAAUUAUUAGUCAACAAGAGUUCCGUUGUAAAUAGUUCUUAGCAAUGGUAUUUUCUUUGAACUAGAAGAAAUUGCUAGUAUUGUGUUCCAAGGACUCUUUUUAGUGGGAAUGAGUCAAAGAUUUUGAUUCCUAGAUUUUCUUAUCGAAGACCCAGACUUGUAAUGCAAUUAAGACACUAUUUUUGAGACAGUGAGCUUGAGUUGAUGUUGACAAUCUAGCUAUUAUUGAUAUGCGGUUAAGUAAUCUCAAAUAACUAUGGAAGGAAAAAACUGUCAUUGACUGAUUUAAUUGGAAAUUAUUUGCGAGAAAGCUAAAAAGAAUUAGAGUUUUUUAAUUUAUAAAAUUAUAAUUCUAAAUUCUAAAAAAAAAUUCAAUUAUUUUUAAAAUUAUUUUAAAAAAUAAAACAUCAACUAUUUAUAUAAUAGAUAAAUAAAUCUAUUAAAAUAAAUUGAGAAUAACUAGUAAAAUCAAGCAAAUAAUCCAAAAAUAACAAGAAAAUAAAUAUAUUUUCUAGAUCUUAUUUGAGUAUUUUUUUUUUUCUUGAUUGACUGCCUUGUCAAAGUCUUUAUUCAGCAUAAACAAACUUUAUUCUAAAAGUCUGUUUGAUAUUUCUUCACUUAUCUAUGACAUUACUUCUACUGUACAGAAUAGAAAUAAAAAUUAGAUGAUAUUGGAAUGACAAAAACUCAUUUGCACAAAUUAUCCAUUAUGUAAUUUAUAUUUUCAAAUUACAAUUUUUGACGAGCCUUGUGUUUAGUUAAGGUGUAUCAAUCUGUUGGCUAUUUGAGGAGCCUCGGUUACUUGAAUCUGAAGGGAUGUUAGAGGCUAAAAAUCCUUCCGCGGAGCAUUUGUGAUAUGAAGUCUCUUGAAACUUUGAAUAUUUCAGGGUGUUCAGGACUUGAGAAAUUACCAGAUUGCAUGGGUGAUAUGGAAUCCUUAACUAAGGUGCUAGUGGAUGGAAUUGAAAAUGAGCAAGUUCUCUUUUCAAUUGUAUAAUUAAAGCAUGUCAGAAAAAUAUCAUUGCGUGGAAACAGUUUCUAUCAGAACUCAUCGUCAUCUACAUUUUGGCAUCCACCAAUUUCUUCUUGAUUUCAGCAAGUGUUUUAUAUUGAAAACGUUUCUUGAACUUCCUGAUGAUGAUUUUUCUAAUCACGCAACUAACUGUGUUGAUUUUAGGGGUUUGUCCUCUCUAGAACAAUUGGAUCUAUCACAAAAUAAAUUCUCUAGCGUGCCUUCUGGGAUCGACUUCCUUCCCAAGCUAGGGACCUUGAGUGUUGUUGGAUGCGACAAUCUUGCAUCAAUCUCAAAUCCUCCCUCAAAUUUAUACUGUUUGAAUGCACUUUAUUGCAAAUCAUUGAAAAGAGUAAGAAUACAGUCAAAAGAAGAAAUACUUAUAGAUCUAAAUGAUUGUCCUUUAUUAGAAGAGAUUCAGGACAUCGAAGGUCGCAGUAAUAUUUUCUAGUGUAUUUAUGUUGAUUUCCCUAGGGAUUCAUCAAAUAAUUUCUAGAAGAGCCUUAUUGAGGUACUAUUUAUGUCUCUCUUGCGCAAAAAUAAACACACACAUUGAUUAAUUUUUAAAAUCUCAGCAUUACUUGAAAUCAAUAUAUAUUUAUACAGGCAUUGGGCGCCAGUUGUUACCGGUAUUUUAUUUACAACAUUCCUGGUGAGAUGCCAAAUUGGUUGAGUUAUAUCAUCUUUUCUUAUAUUUCCCUUGUGAUUUAGAGCCCGUUUGGAAACAUGGGCCAACCCGCGUUUCCAAAAAUUUUUAAAAAAAUAUUAUAAAAAUUAAAUUUAUUUUUUUUUAUUUUGAAUUGUUUUGAUGUACUGAUCUUAAAAAUAAUUUUACAAAAAAAAAAAACCCACCAUUUUUGCAUUUCGGCAAGAAAAUAAUCACAACCAUACUCCCAAAAGGCUCUUAAUAAUAGCGUCAACACAUGAGCAAUGAAGUAACUAUUUAUUUCCGAAGCUACAAAAACAUAAUCUCGAUUUAAUGUUUUUUUUUGUAAGAAUAAAUAUUUCAUUUAGUUAUUAUUAUUUUAUUUCUUUUAAUUUAAAACAUUAAAAAUUAUCUUUAAUUAUUUUAUUUUUCUUAUUUAAUUUUAAAAAUUAAAUAUCAUCUUUAAUAAUAUUUUUUUAUUAAAUAUUUAGAGUAUGUUAGAUUUUAUUAUUUAUUUAUUUUAUUUUAUGAUAAUAUUUUUAUUAUUAAAUUUAAAAAAUUAAAUGUUAUCUUUAAUAAUUAGAUCUAUCCAAUCUCACUUAAUUAAACCAUUAUUUUAUUGCUAGAAACUUAUGAGUCUUUUAAGCCAAAAGAAUUGUAGGAAGAGCUAAAAUUAGCAAGGAAUAUUUAGAGUCUAUUUGAUUUUAUUGUUUAUUCUUUGAUUUCAUGGUAAAAUUUUUAAAUUUUGAAAAACAAAAAUUGAAGACUUAUAUGUUUUGAACUUUUUUGUUAUAUAUAUAUAAAAAAAAAAACCAACAGUCACUAACAUAAUUUCGUAAAAUCACUUUAGUUUAUUUGAAAAAUAUAUUGAAAACUGAUUUUUUGUUUUUUUACAUUAAAAACAAAAAUUGAACAAUCUUUUUAUAUUUUACUUCAAAUAUGGUAUUUUAAAACAAAAAUGAAAACGACGUGAAAUUAACCAUUUUAAUUAUAAAGUAAGUUUCUUAAUUAAAAGUGAAAGUGAGUUAAUUUGUAAUAACAUGAAUUUUGUUGGUUUUUCAUGGAACGCAAUAGGUCAGCACUGGAUGCAAGACCCUUAAAAGAUAGAUCAUUGAUCAUUUACAGAGAGAUGCUUGAAGUUAAUUACUCUAGAUAAGUAUUGGGCUUUUCAGAUUUCUUUCUGACAACUUAUUCAUGAUGGAAUUUAUACUUUUUCUCAAGACAAAUUGAUAAAAACUACAAAUACAUAAACAAAAAAAAAAAGUAUUUAAUCGUUAUGUUUUAUAUUCAUCUAUGAUUUAAUUUUUUUCCAUCAAUUUCAUUUUCUUAUUUAUUUUAAUCCUAAAAUAACAAUAAAAAAAAAAUAAAAAAUCAUAUCAAGAAGUUCAAUUCAAAAUAAACAAGAUGCUUAAAAAAUCUUUUAGUAUCGCAUCUUUUUUUUGUAAAAAAAUAUAAAACAACAACGUAUUUAAUCAACUCGAGUUUUGUGGCCUAACCAUACCGUGACAAUCAUGUAAAAAUCAAAUUUUAAAAAAUCAAUCCAUAGAAAAAAAAUGCAUUGGAAAAACAAAUUUAAAAUAAAUUAAAUAAUUAAAAAAAGUUCAGUAAAAUAUAUUUUAUAAAAAAAAUAUUCAGACAAUAAUAACAAUUAUCAAGCUAAUAUUCAUACCAUUCCAAAUGAAGCCUUACAUGGUGAAACGAAGCUCAUUGGGCUAUAAAAAGUGCAAAUAACUUCUGAAAAGAUUAAAACGAUUCAAACUAAGCUCAGGAAGUACAAAGUAGACAGAAGAGUUAUGUUGACCUUAUACGACUGGAAUUGAAAUUUGUUGAUGGUGAUUAUGUAUUUUUGAGAAUUCCUCCUACCAUAUAUUGGGCCUUUUAAAAUUUUGAAGAGAAUUGGUGCUGUUGCUUAUGUAUUAGCUUUUCCACCCAGCUUUUUCAUCUAUACAUCCAGUGUUCCAUGUAUCUCCGUGCUCUAUCACAUAUAUUGGAGCCAUAAACAGUAGCAUUUCAAGAAGAUAUGUCAUGUGAGAAUCAACUGGAGAACCUGAGAAGAUGAUACGUAAUAAAUAUUGUUAUUUCUUCGUUCAAUCAAGCCCAUUUGUUAGUUAUAUAACCCAUUAUUGUUUUAUAUGUUGGCCCGUUAAUUAGGUAGCCCAUUUGUUAUUACAGAAAGAUAGAGGUAAGGACAUUGUUAGUCAUUUUCUUCCUUAAUUCUCUCUUUGUUGUAAUGAGUAAAUACCUUAAGAAAUUUGAAUAUUUGAAAGAUAAUGAGUAAAUUUCAAAGAAUCAUAUUGAAAUUAUGGAAAAUAUGUUUUGGUGUUGAUGAUGGAAGAAUUACAGUUUGGUCCUUGCCUUUGAGAAAUUAAGAUUUUGUCCCUAAAUUCUAAAACAAUUAUAGUUUAGACUCUGGUUGUAAAUAGCAAUUUUUAGAUAUCUUUUUGAUAAAUAUUUGAGAAAUAUUGAUUAUCUAUUAUCAAUUUUUAUUGUUAUCAUUUAAAUUUAGAAUUAAUUCUAUUAUGUAUUUAAAUGCGUUUAGCUAUUUUUUCUCCUUUAAUGUAGCUAUUUUUUCUCCUUUAAUGGGCUAGGAUUUGAAACAAAUGUGGCUAUGUUUUCUCCGUUUAAUAUAAAAAAAUAAUAUUCAUGGAUUAAUUUUCGUAUAAUUCAAGAAAGCAAGUCCUUAAAUCAAAUUUUAGAGUGACCAUCCUCAAUGUGUUAAAAGUAAAUGUUAAAGGAGAGAGAGAAAUAAAAAUAAAAAUAAAAAGCAAAAGCAAAAGGAAACAACGCCCAUCUUUCUUGGUCCUCUCUCUCUUUCCUUGCUUUUUUUAACGUGUGGACCUAGCAGUUGUUGCCACCAAAUUCCAGCUCAAUAUUUACCAGCUCUACACGCUUGAGAAAUUUCCAUGCUUUUCUUCCUCUACGUACUGUUACCUUUUACCUUUUAUAAUUAUGAUUAUUGCAUUGCUAAUAAUCUCCAAGAAAGAUGAUGAAUAUUUUUUAGUGAAUUCAAAAUAACAACAAAUAAGGUUUGUUGAGUCUUUUCUUGGAACCUUGUUAUGGGAUUAAAUAGGGAGAAUAAUAAAAUUAUGUGCGAAUUAUACAAAAUUUAUUAUUAAUCAUAAAUUUUUAUUCUUGAUCAUCAAUAUUGAAUAAUGGCUUAUUUUCUAGUAUAAACUGUGUUUGAAAUAUCAAGUUGAUGUUCUUAAGUGUUUUUUUGAUGAUUUUAAUAUACUGAUAUUAAAAAUAAAAAUAAAAAUAAAAAAACUAAUUUUGUUUUCAAAAAGAAAUUGACAAUCAAUUCCUUGCUUUACUCUCCAGCUAGCCUGAUACAUAUGAGUCUCAAGACAUAUGGCCAUUGAUAAAAAGGUGUGUUGAAGCAAAAUCUUUUUUUAAUUAUCUGUAGCGACCUCAAUAAUUUUGUCAAUAUGCACCUACCUUGAAAUUACCAAUACGUAAAUUCCAGCUCAAUAAUUGCCAAUACGAGCUUGAGAAAUUUCCUUGCUUUUUUUUUCCCCUGUACAUGUUUCCUUUUUAUCUUUUAUAAUUAUAAUUAUUGCAUUGCUAAUAAAUUACCAAUACGUGUGGACCCAGUUGUUGCGACCACCACGAAAUUACCACUCCAAAUUCCUUCUUCUUUCUCUGUAUUUUAUUAGAAAAACUGUCAUUGACUGAUUUAAUUGGGAAUUAUUUGCGAGAAAGCUUAAAGAAUUAGAGUCUUUUAAUUUAUAAAAUUAUAAUUUUAAAUUGUAAAAAAAAUUCAAUUAUUUUAAAAAAUAAAAUAUCAACUAUUUAUAUAAUAGCUAAAUAAAUCUAUUAAAAUAAAUUGAGAACAACUAGUAUAAUCAAGCAAAUAAUCCAAAAAUAAUAAGAAAAUAAAUAUAUUUCCUAGGUUUGAUUUGAGUAUAUUUUUUAUAUUAAUUGACUGACUUGCUAAGUCUUCGCUGAGCAUAAAUGAACUUUACUCUAAGAGUAAGAGUAUGUUUGAUAUUUCUUUACUUAUUAAUGAAAUGUUACUUUUAAUUUAUAGCGGAUUGAUUUAUUGAGCCAAUCUGAAUUUAAUAACUAUAGUCUAUAGUCAUACUGCUAAUACUUGCACCGAAGCUAAUAAUAUUUUUUUUCUAAAAUAAAGAUGAAUAUUUUUUGUUGGCAUUAAUAAUUUAAAAUGAGAAUUAAAGAGCAAAGGGUUUAAGCAAUAUUAAAAGAGAAGGUUUUGUGUAAGUAUUAGAUAAUUGAAAUCAUCACUAGUUCAUUUUCUUUUUUUAUUACCCCUUCCGCUUGGCAUGCCUGAAAAGGAGCCAAAAAAAUAACCAUAGGUUUUUCCGGUUUUGGACCUCAUAGGUUUGGACCGGUUCCGGUUUAGUUUGGAUCCCUUUUUUAAAAACAGUUUGGUUGUUUUCUAAAGGUAAAAACCAAACCGAACAAAAAAUGAUCACCUCUAGCAGCAACAACACAUUAACAUACCAGCAUUAUGGCAGAAGGAGGGACGACCUUAGAGCAAGUGCAGAGGUAUGUUAAAGGCUUGGGUAAGCUAUAGCCCAAGUCAAGACUUUAUCAAUAUUUUAUAGCUAGUUUUAUGUAAAAAAAAUUAUAAUUCUUGAUUGAGUUAUCAAAAAAAAAAAUUAAAAUUUACGUGGAGCCUUCUAAUAUAAUAUUUUAACUUGGGUUAAAAUUUCAUAAUAAUUUAAGAAAUUCAAAAAUUUGAUGAAAAAUCACAAUUUGACCAGUUUUAUGUUAUUGGACAUAAUUUUCAAUUCGACAAUUAGAUUGAACUGAAAUUUUACGAGAGAUCUUAAAAUAUAUUGAAUAAAAUAUGGUUAAAAUUUUAUGAUGAACGAAGCUUGGAAGUGCUAACAAAAAAAAACUGUCAAAUAAAAACAAAUCGACUCAUUAAGGGUAAAAUGAUUACUAUUAAAAAAUAAAACAAAUAAGCUCUUCCUUCAUUUUAUAUGUUGCCGACUAGACAGAAGCAGAAUAAGAAAAGAAAGAAAAGAAAAGGCAAGAGAGAAAGAAAUGAAAGUAGGGGUCAUCAUUUUCGGUUCGGUUUGGUUUUUAACAAAACAAGUAACCAAACUGAAUUUUUUUUUGAAAAAAAAACCAAAACCGGUUCGAACCGGCCGGUUUGGUUUUUUAAGGAAAAAAACUGGUUCAAACCAGUUUGACUCGGUUUUUUUUCGGUUUGGCUCGAUUUUUUCGGUUUUGACUCGAUUUUGCUUGGUUUUUUCGGUUUUGGCUCGGUUUUUUCCCGGUUUGACUCGGGUUUUUUCAGUUCGGUUCGGUUUCAGACGUAUAAAACCGAUAUCAAACCGGUCGGUUUUUUCAAAAUUUUAAUCGGUUUUUUUUCACGGUUCGGUUUUUUCAGUUUUUUUGCUCACCCCUAGAUAAAAGUAAGGGAAAAACAUUAAAAAAAAAAUAAGAAAAGUAAAAGAAUAACAUUGUAAACUUACAAAGUCCAACUUAUAAAACACUAAUUUAAGGAAGAAUUAAGUGAAGGAAGGAGGAAUUGAGAGAGAGAAAAAAUUUAAUUACUUUGUUUCCAGUUGACAUGAGAUUGUUAUUUUAUCUCGAUUGAGGAGUUGUUACAAUAUCGAUUAAGAUUCGAUUAUAGAUAAAUUAUAUUUCACAAAAUAUUGAAAGAUGUAACUUCAAUAAUAAAUUUAUUUUUACUUUCACUUCAAUUUUAUGUAUUUUUAAAUUUAUUUUUUAAUAUUUUGGGUAGUAUAUUUGAAUUAAAACUUUAUUAUUAGUUUCAAAUAUAUAUAUAUAUAUAUAUGAAUUAAUAAUUAAUCUUAAAUAAAAUUAUAUAUUUAUUUAAUAGCUCAAGAAAAAUUCAUUACUCCGUCCUUACAUUAGAGUACACUCCCACAUGCGUUGUGGCGGCGGUUUGCUCUGUUAUUGCGCUCAUUUCUCUUAUUGUUGAAAGAUCCCUUCGCCUCCUUGGAAAAAGAUAAUAUAACUGCAUUGACCGGAGAUUUCACUUAGAAUUUCUAGUAAAUUACAAAGGAAAUUUCCUAUGUUUUUUCAUGUACAUGUAUUGAAAAACUAUCACUGAUUGACUGACUUGCAUUGACUGAAUUUCUAAGUAUUUGCUGCUCGAAAUGAGCAAUCCUGUUUUUUCAAUGCUGCCAUUUAGCAAGUCCACAUGUCAUGAGUCUACACGGCAUCAAAUUUGCAAAAUCAUAUAGCCCAUUGAUAGAAAUCAUAUAGCCCAGUUGUUGCAAUACACCCUUGAGAAAUUCCAGCUCGAUCUUUACCAAUACACGCUUGAGAAAUUUCCUCUACGUACGUGUUACCUUUUACCUCUUUUAUAAUUAUUAUGAUUAUUGCAUUCCUAAUAAUUUGCAAGAAAGAUGAUGAACACUUUUUAGUCAAUUCAAAAUAACAAAAUAAGGUUUGUUGAGGCUUUUCUCGAUCAGGGAUUAAUUAACGAGAAUAAGAAAAUCCCCUUCAAAUUAUACAAAAUUUAUUAUUAGUCAUCUAUAUUUAUUAUUAAUCAUCUAUAUUGAAUAAUGGCUUAUUUUAUAGUAUAAACAAUGUUUGAAAUAAAAUUAGUAAAAGAUAUUAUACAUAAUUAAUGAUGGGAUCGUUUAUAAAAAUGACUAAAUUAAAGUUUUUCAAUUAUAUUUAAACAUAUUAUAAUUUUAAUAAAUGGGCUGUACAUCAUGUAAAUUAUAAAAGAAUAUUUAAAUUAUAUAUAUAUAUAUAUAUAUAUAUAUAUAUAUAACAAAUUAGAUGAUACUAACAAGAAAAUAUAUAGGAAUUAGUUUGAAUAAAGGAUACUAGUUAUAUAUCUAGAGAAGAAGUUCGAAGAAUAGAAUGAAGUCAAAUAUUCUUAAUAAAAAAGAAAAAAACACAUAAAGAAAUAAAAUAUGUUUUUAAUUAAUAAAUAUAAAAGAUGGAUGAAAGUAUUAGAGAAGAAGAAAGAGAUAUAGAAUCUGUUUGUGAAAUUUCUAAGAACUUAAUUACAAUUAUAUUAUAAUUUCUUCCCUAAAAUUAUUCAAAAUAUAGUAUUAGAAUUACAUAAUGCUAGGUUUUAAUAUAUAAUUAAAAAGUUUCCCAUGAACCAAAUAAUAAAAAUAUUGUAUAACUCUUUUGAAUGAAUUAUUAAAUUAGUCCAUUUAUAGGUUGACUCAGUAUUCCUGCCUUGAUUGCCAGGAAAUUUCACUAGAAAUUUCAAGUAAUUUACACAGGAAAUUUCCUGGUGAUAAACCUGGGAUAUGAUUUUCAACUUUCUUGGCAGCUGCAUCAAGGAAAAAACGUUUCAGAUGCGAAAAAUAAAGAUAAAAGUGGAAAAUAGAAGCGGAAAAAAAAUCCCAAAUAUCGACAAACAUCCCAAAUACAGAUAUCCUUAAAUUUAACCCAUUCUAUUUUACAUAAAUAAAUGAUAAGAUUAGGUGAAGAAUUAUUUGAUGUUUCCAUGCAACUUUGAAAGAAUAAUAAGGAAUAACACUUUUGAGAGAUUAAGAUUAAUUUUCAAUUCAGACAUAAUCAAUUGAGAGAUUAAUACAAACUAAAAGAUAAUAAAUAAAUAAAUAAAUAAAUAUCAGUCAAUUUGAUACAAAUACAAAAUGAUGCAAGUGGAUGCUAUCAGUGUAUUCUUGUAGCUUUCAAUUGUUUUCCCCCCUAAAUUAAGGUGUCGAAAAAUAGACCAAUGAAGCGAUCUUUACUAUCAGUGUGUCUCCCACGGCAAAAACAUUAAUGCAAUCAGUUAGUGCCUGCUGGAAAAUUACUCCAAGAAACUUCAUGGAACCACCAAAAUAAGGAAGAAAACAAAAACGUUAAUAAUGGUGAAAAUAACUUGACAUUAUCUGUCGAGAUGAUUUAAGUUUUUUUUUUUAAAUAAUUAUUUUACAAAUAUUAUAAAUUAAUGUGUUAUGGCGUCACACGUCAAUUUAAGAGAUUGUUUUUUUUAAACGUACUAACAAUCCAACACAAAGCCAUCUAAAAUAUUUACAAAUAGUUAUAGCAUUUAACUAUUUAUGUAGGGUAUUUUUAAGAAAUAUUUUUUAUUUAAAAAUAUUUUAAAAUAAUUCAUUUCCGCUUGCAUGUCAUGCUCCUCCAUUGUUUUUGCAGCCUGUCCCGUUCCAGUAUCUGCACACCACGCACUGCCGAUGUUUCCGGUGUUUUUUCCGCGUUCCUCCGUGAAUAAAAAAAUGUUAUUUUUUCUCGUUUAAUUAUUUAAAUAUUUAUUUUGAAGUGUUUUUUUUUUGGAUUGCACGAUGUAAUUUAUGUAUUUGCACAAUAGUUGUGUGAUUUACAUAAAUUUUAUUUAUAUUGAAUGAUAUUUUUCCAUCCUACAUUAACCAUAAUUCUAUAGGUAGAAUCACCUUCGAAGUGACUAAAUCUGCUUUAAUAUAUUUGAGAUUCACUCAAUGCCACUCUCAUCGGUAUUCUAAAAGCGAAGAGAAGAGUAGAAGCAAUGUGAUAGCUAUACAGGUGAGACUUAAUAAUUUACAGGUGAUAAUUAUUUUUUAAAAUAUUUUUUUUAUUUGAAAAUAUAUUAAUUUAAUGUAAAAUAAUAAAUAAAAUUAAUUAUUUUUAAUUAUUUUUUAAAAUGUAAAAACAAAGAGGAUAUAAUCAACCGUAUGUUACCUUGUAAACCGUAUGUUAGAGUCCCUCAAAUAUUCUGGCUACAGCAACCACUAUAUUGUAUGCCAAGCAGUAUUUUGUCCUUGAACCCUUGGCCCUCUAAAUUACCCAAAAAGGACAAUAAUUGAGCACAAGCGGUACAGGUCAGGCUUAAACUCAGCUUGCUAGAGCCAGUUCUCAAUUUUAGGCACCAGUUCUCAAUCGAAUUUUAGCAAAAUCAAGGAUCCAAGAAUUGGCCUCUGUAACAUGGUUUGUAUUCUGAGCCAAUCUGGGCUAGGAUUUGAAACAAAUGUAGCUCUUUUUUUCUCCUUUUAUUGUAAAAAAAUAAUAUUCAUGGAUUAAUUUUCGUGUAAUUUAAGAAAGUAAGUCCUUUAAUCAAAUUUUAGAGUGAUCAUCCUCAAUGUGUUAAAAGUAAAUGUUAAUUACCACUAAGAAGGAACGCAAAAAGACAUUCCUUUUCUUGUCAUAAAGUUUUGAAGAGCUAUCAAAACGUACUAUCGUGUAUUAUUGUCAUAAAAAUUUUCCAACUUUCAAUAUAGAGAGAGAAAUAAAAAUAAAAAGCAAAAGGGAACAACCAUUUUGAUAUUCAAUCAGUAUGAGUGAGAAAGAAAGGAAGCAUCUUUCUUGUGUGCUUUCCCUUCUUUACAUGGCUUACCCGAUGAAAAAAGCAAACACCCCAUUUUGAUUUUCAAUCAGUAUGAUUGAGAAAGAACGACAGGGCAAGGUUUGUUGAGGCUUUUCUUGGAACCUGGCUCCUUGCUUUUUUUAACGCGCGGACCAGUUGUUGCCACCAAAUUCUUUCCUCAAUAUUUACCAGCACUACACUCUUGAGAAAUUUCCAUAGAGCCUUAUAAUAUAAUAUUUUAACUUGGGUUAAAAUUUCAGAGAAAUUCAUAAAUUUGAUGAAAAUUAUAAUUUGACCAGCUUUAUAUUAUUGGGCAUAAUUUUUAAUCCGGCCAUCAGAUUGAGCUCAAAUUUUACGAGAGAUCUUAAAAUAUAUUGAAUAAAGUAUGGUUAAAAUUUUAUGAUGAACAGAGCUUGGUAGUACUAAAAAAAAAAAAAACCGUCAAAUAAAAGCAAAUCGACUUAUUAAGGAUAAAAUGGUUUUUUGCCAUUAAAAAAUAAAACAAAUAAGCUCUUUCUUCAUUUUAUAUGUUGCCGACUGGGUAGAAGCAGAAUAGGAAAAGAAAGAAAAGAAAAAGUGAGAGAGAAAAAGAUAAAAGUAAGGGAAAAACAUUAAAAAAAAUCCAAAUAAAAAAAAUAAGAAAAGUGAAGGAAUAACCUUGUAAACUUACAAUGACCAACUUAUAAAAUACUAAUUUAAAGAAGAAUCAAUUGAAGGAAAGAGGAAUUGAGAGAGGGAAAAAAUUUUAUUACUUUGUUUUCCAGUUGACAUGAGAUUGUUAUUUUAUCCCGGUUGAGGGGUUGUUACAAUAUCAAUUCAGAUUCGAUUAUAGAUAAAUUAUAUUCCACAAAACAUUGAAUGAUGUAACUUCAAUAGUGAGUUUAUUUUUACUUUCACUUCAAUUUUAUGUAUUUUUAAAUUUAUUUUUUAAUAUUUUGGAUAAUAUAUUUGAAUUAAAAUUUUAUUGUUAGUUUCAAAAGUUUAUGUACAUAAAUUAAUAAUUAAUUUUUUUAAAAAAUUAUAUAUUUAUUUAAUAACAACAGGAAAAAUUGUCUCGCAUAAAUUCCCACAUGCGUUGUGGCAGCGGUUUGCUCUGUUAUUGUUCUCAUUUCUCUUAUUGUUGAAAAAUCCCUUCACCUCCUUGGAAAUGGCAUUCCAAGUGUGCAGUAUUUAUUGUCAUAAAGUUUUUCAAACAUCCAAUAUAGAGAGAGAAAUGAAAAUAAAAAGAGCAAAAGGAAACAACCCCCACCCCAUCUUUCUUGUUCCCUUUCCCUUCUUUACAUGGCUUACUCAAUGAAAAAGCAAGCACUAAUGCACCUUCUCCACAAACUACCCCCAAUUUCGCCGCUAUAUAAAUAUAUUAUGGAAAACAAGAUAAAAAGAAAUCUUUUGGUACAUCUAUAUAUAUAUAUAUAUAUAUAUAUAUAUAUAUAUAUAUAUAUAUACAUGGUAUCAGAAUAUCUGUGAAGUAUUGCUGGGAAGUCAUAAUUUUUGACACGCCUAAUCACAGUCUUUUUUUGGAAAUUUCCAUCAUUUGAUCUUGACAGCAUCAGAUUAGACAAUUGCAUGGAAAUGGUCUUCUUAGUUUGCCGUGUGGAAAAUCAUGUCAUUUACGGGGCUGCUGGAGAGAUUUUCUAUUGACCGGUAAUUUCGCUCGAAAAUUUCUAGUAAUUUAUAAAGGAAAUUUCUACUGUAUAUGAAUUGAAAAACUAUUAUUGACUGACUUCUUAAAAAGUAUUCGCAAGAAAGCUAAAGAAUUAAAGUUUUUUAAUUUUUAAAAUUAUAAUUUAAAAUUGUAAGAAAAAAAUCAAUUGUUUUAAAAUUGUUUUCAAAAAUAAAACAUCAACUAUUUAUAUAAUAGCUAAAUCUAUUAAGAUAAAUCCAAAAUAACUAGUAAAAUCAAUGACUUGCAUUAUCAAGCUUGACGAAUUUUAAGCUUAAUCUAUUGUAUUAUCUUUGAUGAUCACUUCACAUGUAUCUCUUGCUUGUAUUUGCAAGAGAGAAGAUACCUUAUGCAAUUGCUCCAUUGCUAAUUGAUUGUUCCUUCUGCUCUCUCAUUAUUAAGCUUAAACUGUUGUAUCAUCUUAUGUUCCACAUUAAGGAUAUAUAAUUAAUUAAUCGGACCGACCAUUAUGUUAAGGAUAAGAGAUUGUGGGCGCCUCUUUUUUCUUGUUGACAACUCAUGAUUUAUUUAUAGCAGUUAAGGAUAUAAUUAAUCGGACCCACCAUUAUGUUCCACGUUAAAGAUAUAAUCCAAUGUUUCAUAAUGAUCAUCUUGAAUUUGGUUUUUUCUGCAUUAAUGUAUAACAGGUAAAAUUAAAUGAUUAUUGGAUGAAUUUGCAUAAAUAUUAAGUCCAAUAACAUAAUUAAAUUUUUAAUAAAUCAAUUUGAUUUAAUCAUGGAUCAAAUUAAUUUUUAAUUAUAUUUAAAUUAAUUUUAAUCCAAUUAAAGGAUUUAAUUAAAUGCAAGGAUUUAAUUAUACUUUAAAAGGGUUAAAUUAAUUUUAUUAGAGAUUUAAUUCAUGAAAAAUUAAGUUUGAAAACUCAAUUUAAGUUUAAUUAAAAAGAUUAAUAUUUUAAAAAAUCAAAAUUAAUUUUUAUCAAAUUAAUUAAUUAAAAUCAGGAUGCAAAAAUAUCACAACACAAUUGAAGUUUAGCUUUUAUCAUUUCAAAAGUUCCAGCCUCAUCUUCACUACUUGUAAAAUUGGGGCAGAUUAUGGACUUAACCGAGCAAUUACCGCUCGAAAUUCCUCGUGAAGGAAAUUUCCUUGUUCUUUCUCCGUAUAUUUUUUUCAUAUUAAUUAUAUUUUUCAUAAUUAUUUGCUCUGAAGAUUACCAAAUACAAAAAAAAAAAAAAUUGUUUCUAAAAUAAUAGGAUAUGAAUAAUUAACUAUAGAAACUAAAGAGUGGAUCGGUUAUCUUUAACGUUUGCAAAUAAUUAAAGAGAUAUAAAUUUUGUGAUGAGUUAUGAUUAACGCAGAAGCAAAUAAAAGAGGAACAGAAAUUAUAAGCCAAUAUUGUUUUCGGUUUCAACUUUAAAUCAAACCUAUAAAACCUAACCAUUACAGCUUCUCUCUCCAUCUUCUUCGUCUGCUUUUGUCAUGGCAUCAACUCAUCGAGUACAGGUAGAGAUACUUGAGGUCUAUCAAGUCAUCCUGUCCUUGAACUCACUUGACCCAGCCAUCGAGUUAUUUUUUCCGCUCAUCUUUUUUCCUACAAACUCACCAAGACAGCAGCGGAUUAUUUUAACUCAGUGAUCCUUCCAGGAAGGCCAGGCCGCAUUGAUUGUGUUAAAAAAAAAAAAUCUAAUUCAGCUUAGUAUCAACUGCAUUAUAAUUAUUUAGGAGGAUAGUUGAACCAUAUUUUUAAAAAAAAUUAAUUUCUUUUUUAUAAUUAUACUCCAACAGCAACUACCUCGAAAUUACCACUCCAAAUUCCAGCUCAAUAUCGAUCAACAUGUGGCUAAAAUUGAUAAAAGACACAUAAUGAUGGUAUUGUAUAUUUUGAACUAAAUUGAGGUUUUUUAAUUAUUACUUCAAAAUAUAUCAUGGUUUUAAUAGUUGGACGGUAUAUUAUAUAAAUUAUUAAAAAAUAUUUAUUUUUAUUAUAUAUGUAGUAAUAAUAAAUUAGAUGAUAAUAACAAAAGAAUAGGAAUUAGUUUGAAUAAACAGUACCAGUUCCUAUUAUGAUAUGUAUAGAGAAGAAGUUGGAAGUAUAAAAUGAAGUCAAAUAUUCUUAAUAAAAAAAACACAGAAAUAAUUAAAAUAUGUUUUUAAUAAAUAUAAAAGAUGGAUGAAAAUAUUAGAGAACAUGAAAGAGAUAUAUAAUCUCUUUGUAAGAUUUCUAAGAACUUAAUUACAAUUACAUUAUAAUUUCUUCCUUAAAUUAUUCAAAAUAUAUAUUAUUCUAGGUUUUAAUGUAAUUAAAAAGGAAGUAUUUGCAGGAAAGCUAAAGAAUUAAAUUUUUUAAUUUUUAAAAUUAUAAUUAAAAUUGUAAGAAAAUAAUCAAUUGUUUUUAAAAAUAAAACAUCAACUAUUUAUAUAAUAGCUAAAUCUAUUAAGAUAAAUCGAAAAUAACUAGUAAAAUCAAUGACUUGUAUUGACGAGUGUGUCUAUAUAUACAUAUAGGAAUUGCUGAUUCGAUUUGAAUAUGUUAUUUGAUUAGUCUAAUUCAUGAUUUGCAUUGACUCAAAAUUACCACUAAAAAUUCCUAGUUUCGUGGUGCUUUCUCGGCCUGCAAAUGAAUAUAAAGCAUAUCCUUUUAUCCUAUAUAAAGAAUACAAUUAACCUUUUUAUCUUUUAUAAUUACAAUUAUUGCAUUGCUAAUAAUUUGCAUGAAAGAAUAUUCUUUCUCUGAAAAGGGCUUGAGAAAACCCUAAGCAUAUUAUAUAAUCUCUUAUAGGAAUCUCUUUAUUAAAUCAUCAAAAUAUCAAAGUCUUUUUCCAAAGACUAUGAGUACAGUUUAUAUAUAGAAACAACCAAAUAUAAAAAUUAUUAUUUUUUAAAUAGAAAAACCAGAGAGCUUGAUAAUAUUUAAUAAAAAAAAUAAAAUAGAAAAAUUAUUCCUUUUUAAGUAGAAAAAAAUUAUAAAGAUUUUAAUAAUACUAAAUAAGAAAAAUUAAAAUUUCUAAACUAAAUUAAAAAAAAAAAGUUUUGGCUACAUUUACUUAGUCCCUGUUAUUUGUAAAGCUUAUAACUUAAUUCAAAUCAAUAAAAGUUUAGCAGUUUGAUACAAAAGCUCAUGGCCAAGUUAGAAAUAUUUGUUUUGGAUGUAAUAAAUAUUCAUAUUGGGACAUAAUAUUUAUCUUUCAAAUCCAUAAUUUAAUUGAUCAUAUAAAUAAAUUUUUUUAAAAAAAAAAAGCAAAAAGGAAACAUCUUUCUUGUUCCCUUUCCCUUCUUUACACGGCCUAGUACUCAAUGAAAAAGCAAACACCUCAUUUGAUUUUCAAUCAGUAUGAGAGUGAAAAUGAGAGAGAGGUACAAGUUUGUUUCUAUCUAAGAAAGCAAGAAGCUCCCACUAAUGCAUGUUCUCCACAAACUACCCCCAAUUUCACCAUUACAGCUCAAGUAGCUUUGAGUCAUUGAUUCCAACAAAUAGGAAUUGAAUUCAAAGGAAUAAAUCAUUAAAUGCGGAGUUGGUGCUCUCGUGUUUGUGGUGCUGAUAAAUGUAAGAACAGACAAAGAGAUGAAAUAGGAAAAAUCCAUGUAUCUAUCCUUUAUCCUGCUGUUAAUUUUUUAAAGACGCGUAUCAGGUGUUUGAUAAAAUUCCUCAACUUAAAAAAAAAAAAAAAAAAAAAAAAAACCAUGUUUAGAAUGCUUGAGUCCUUUACGAGUGGAAAGUGGGAACUAUCCACUUUCCCAUUCUCCACUGACCGUGAAAGAGGGAACUCCUGUGAGAGCUUUAUGCCACUUUCUAUCUUAGAUGUAAUGGCUUCGGCAAAAAGAAACAAAUAAAAGUUAGUGUUCGCACUGCUUUAGCCCAAGUGUCACGGGGUUAAAUUUUUCGCCUCGCAAAUAAACUCGUGCGGCAGCCUAGUCCCGCUAGACUCAGCCUUGCCUUACCCUUUCACUCGUGUUUUCCUACGACUAUGUGUUUCGCUCACUCAAGGAGGUUCUCACAAUCGUCUCGUCGUAGACAAUGCACAAACACAAGCAAGCAUAAGCAAUCACACCGAACUUUUACAAGAAUCCCUCUCAACCUUUAUUUAUCUCAUCAACAAAGGAAAUACACAAAAAUGGUGUGUGCUAUGCACAAAUUCGCAUGCUACACAGCAGAGGCUUGGCAGCCUAUUUAUAGCCAAAUGUGAGCUUCCAUUCUCACCUAGCAUCCCCUAAUUUCGGGGCAUAGUGGAGCACUAUCUCACCUAACAUGGACUAGUGGAGCACUACCUUCCCCCAUGAUCCCCAUUUUCCAUGGACUAAUGGAGUAUUAUCCCAACCAUUAUCUUUGGUUGGUGAACCACUUUCUCCACCAAUAUUCGGUGGGUUGGUGAACCACUUUCUCCACCAAUAUUCAGCCCCUCCACCCAUAUUCUGCCAGCCCUCAUGGCAGUCCCAUUUGUCUUCCUUUCUAUGUCAGCUGCUGACUUAGAAAGUCCAUCAUCUAAGCUCCACCUCCAUGCCAAGUCGCCAGCUCAAAGACUUGCACAGACCCUUGCACGCUGCCUGCCGAAUUCAUUUCUGCCGUAGUCCAUCGUUGCCGAAUUCUAGGCAAUGUGCUCUCGUUGGCGCGCCCCGCGCCUAGACCUCUAACAAACCACCCCCACUAGAAGAGUCUGACGUCCUCGUCGGAAUAGACUUGAGGUAGUCUUGAACUUGAUCCUCAAAUUGCCACAAGUCAAUAUCUUUCUCCCACGAAACCUCCUCAUUUUCCCUCCAUUUUACCAAGAAUUCUGUCCGCCGAUUCUUUCUAUGUUGGCCAAGUCGACGAUGAUCCAUGAUUUUGACAAUCCCAUCAUCGAAUUGCUUGUGAAUGGUAGGAGGAGCUCGGUGUGACUUGCUUCUCUUUGGAUCUUCGUUGUCUUCAUAAAAAGGCCGUAAGUAACUUACGUGAAAGGUAGGAUGAAGUUUCAACCGUUCGGGCAGCUUCAACCUAUAGGCCACAGCGCCUACCUUUUCGAUGACCUCAAAAGGUCCAUCGUACCUUGGCACCAACCCUCGGUGCUUCGUUGUUCCCACGAUUUUCUUCCAAAUCUGCGGAGUUAACUUGAGCAACACCUUGUCACCCACACUGAAUUCCAGCCAUGUCCGCUUUUGGUUGGCGUAUUUGAGCAUUCUUUUCCUUGCCUUACGCAAGCUAUCUUGUGCUUGCUCAAAUAGCUCCUGCCGCUCCAUCGCAAACCUGUAUGCUGUUGGACUCUUCCCACCCGUUAUCUGCACUGCAAUCUCCGCAGGAGUUUGGGGUUGAGCUCCCAACACUAGCUCAAACGGACUUGCUUCCGUUGCCGAGGAUUUUUGAAGAUUGUAGCAAAACUGCGCACUAUCAAGCAACUCCAACCAGUUUCGUUGCAUCGCUGUCACGUAGUGUCUCAAAUAUUCCUCAAGCAAAACAUUUAUCCUUUCCGUCUGCCCAUCAGUUUGCGGAUGGUUGGCAGUUGAAAACUUCAGCCUUGUUCCCAUCAUGUUGAACAAUGCUGUCCAGAAUCGGCCUGUGAAUCGCACAUCGCGAUCACUCACAAUGUCUGAAGGCACUCCAAAGUACUUCACCACGUUUCGGUAGAAUAAUUCAGCAGCCACUUCGGCUGUACACACCGUCGGGGCAGCAACAAACACCGCAUACUUGGUGAAUCUGUCCACAACAACCAUGAUCAUGUUCAUGCCAUCCACCUUUGGAAAACCAACAAUAAAAUCCAUUGAAACUGACACCCAAGGCUUUUCUGGAAUCGGCAGCGGCUGUAACAAGCCUGCCUCUUGCUGCCGCAAAGUCUUGUCUUGUUGACACACUAGACAAGUCCUGACGUAGAGUUCUACAUCAUCUUCCAUCUUCGACCAAUAAUAAGUCUGCGACAAGAGAGCAACCAUCCUUUCCCGUCCCGGAUGUCCAGCCCACUGCGGAUCAUGAGUUUCCGUCAUUAAGUACUUUCGCAGCUCUCCCUUUGGCACGAAGAUUCGACCCCCCUUUGCAUAGAGUAAGUCCUGCUCCAACCAAUACCUCCGUAUUGUCCCUUCUCGUACAAGCUCAACCAUUUUCUUGUACGCUGCAUCCUCCGUAGCAGCUUGGCGAAGUCGAUCCAGCAUAUCUGACUCCACCUGAAAAAUAGCAAGAAUAGUAGCUAUUACCUCGCGUCUGCUGAGUGCAUCCGCAACUUGAUUGUGGCUCCCUAGUUUGUGCUCCCAUACGAAGUCAUAUUCGGCCAAGAAUUCCUGCCACCGAGCUUGUCGUUGCGACAAUUUCUUUUGCGUCUUGAAAAAUGUAUUGGCAACAUUGUCGGUCUUGACAAUAAAUUUUGGCCCCAGCAGAUAUACUCUCCAUAUGCCAAGGCAGUGCACUACUGCCGUCAUUUCCUUCUCAUGGGUCGAGUAAUUCCGCUCCGCAUCACUUAGCUUCCGACUCUCGAAAGCAAUCGGAUGUCCCUCUUGUACAAGCACUCCACCAAUAGCCCUAUCCGAAGCAUCAGUAUGCACUUCGAAUGGCUUCUCAAAAUCAGGCAGCCCCAAGACUGGAGCUGACGCUACUGCUGUCUUCAGCUUCUCAAAAGCUUGUUGGCAGUCAACUGUCCAUUCCCAACUCCGAUCUUUCUUGAGAAGAUCUAAGAGAGGAGUUGUCUUCUUGCUAUACCCCUCGAUGAACCGUCUGUAGUAGUUUGCAAGCCCCAAAAAGGAUCUCAAUUCCGGGACUGAUUUUGGUGAUGUCUGUCAUAACCCAAUUUUUGAUCAUUUUAUUAUUAUUAUUAUUAUUAUUAUUUUAUUUAUUGAAAAGGAUAAAAAAAAUUGAUAAAAAAAAUAAUAAUAAUGAUGAUGAGAAAACAAGUAAAAUGAAGAAUGAAUUAAUUUUUGGGUUAAGGGCAAUAUGAAUGGAAGUUUUGGGGUUUAAUUAAACUUUUGAAUUAAUCUAAUUAAGUUUGGAAUUAAUUUGUUUAAUUAAGAGUUUAAUUGGAGAAUUGAUAAAAUUUUGAGACUUAAUUAAGCUUGAAAUUAAUUUAAUUCAUCCAAUCAAGGAUUUAAUUGGAGAAUUAAUAAGUUUUGAGACUUAAUUAAGCUUGGAAUUAAUUUAAUUAAUCCAAUUAAGGGUUUAAUUGGAUAAUUGAUAAGUUUUAAGACUUAAUUGGACUUGGAUUUAAUUAAAUUAAUGAAAUCAGGGACUUAAUUGAAGAAAUAUCAAAGUUUGGGGUUAAUUGGGGUUGAAAUUGCAACAGAUUAGAGUCCAAGGACUAUCUUGAAACAGGCGCGGGAAUAUAGGGGCAAUUACAGUUUAAACCAGGGGCUUAAUUACAAAAGUUUCGAAACUUCACGGGUCAAAAUGAAAUAGCCGCCUCAUAUCCCAAAACGGCGUCGUUUUAAAGAACGUUGUUCAUCUUCUUCUUCUUCAAACAGAGACCGUUUCCAGCAGUAAUGAUCAGCGACCUCAGUUAUGGACGUUUUAAUGCUUUCGUCCCUCUGCAUGCCAUCCGUUACCACUGAUCGGACUCUAUAAAAAGAGGAACAAUGAAGAAAUGGCGGCGGAGAGAUACCCAAGGGUUGAAUCACAGAACCGAAAGAGAGAGAGAAGCUAAAACCCAGACUCGAAAUAGAACCAGGGGGAUCAUAGAAACGAAAAAAACACAAACGAAGUAGACACCAAGGGGGACUGAAACAAGAAAAGACAGUGGGCAGAGCAGGAACCGAAACACCAAAACUGGGGAAAGAAUCGGCAGAUCACAGAGCCGAACACAGACUGAAACCAAACCCAAAUUCGAAAGGAUAAGCCAGCACCGUCCUUUUUUCUUCAUCACAAGGACUGAGAAAGUAAGGAAAAAAAAAAGAAUAGCAGACGAACAGAAGAGGAAGUAGAGGAGAGAGUGCCCGUUCGACCAUCAACGCCAUGUCUUCAUCGCCAUCGGCUUUGUCUCCAACAGUUACGGGUCAGUUGCAUCAUUUCCCCUGCUUACAAUUUUAAUUCCCCCAACACUGUGCAUUUGAAAUUUAAUUAACACUGACUGUAGCCAGCGUGCGUGAACAAUUCACGCACGCUGGCGCCUGGUCACUGGCUUGGGCCAGUGACCAGGCUGGGUUGGGCUGGGUCUAGCCCAGCCCAUGUGGGCUGAGCUGGGCCCAGCCCGAAAAAAAAUAAAAAAAUAAAAAAAAUAAAAAGCAGAAAAAUAAAAAAUAAAAAAAAUAAAAAUAAAAAUAAAAAAUGUGUAUGCAUGAAUAAAAAUAAUGUAAAUUUAUUGGUUUAUUCACUGACGCCAGAGUCAGGAAUAAAAAUGUGCAUGCGUAAAAAUAAACUUAUUUUUAUUUAUUUAUUCACUGGCAUUAGAGUAGGAAAUAAAAAAUAUAUUGAUCUAAUUUUUGUCGUAGCUACGAAUUUUUACCAACGCCAGAGUUGGAAUUAUUCGAGCUCGAAUAUUCACUGGCGUCAGAGUCAGAAAUAUUAUAAACAAAUCAUCACAGCAUAAAUUAAUAAAUAUUUAGCAAUUUAAGACAAAACCAACAAUGCAGUCUGCCUUAGGCAGAACGUUUAAGGAGUGAUAAUAUCUUCCCUUUUACAUAACCAAUCCCGAAUCAUAGAAUCUCUAUUGACCAGUUAGGGUUCCUAGUGACCAUAAUACUAGGUGGCGACUCCUCAAACAAGACAUUUUUCCCUAAAAGAAUCGGAUGUCAGAAAUCUGUUCUUUUUCCAUAAUUCAAGUGAAUCAUUAUUUUUUGUGGGCCGCCGUGAUGUCGGGUGCGACAAUGUCCAUUCGACGAUGGCUUGGAUCUUUCGUGGAUCCAUCUUCACCUGUCCUUCUCCAAUUAUUUUUCCCUCUUUACAUACAGUUCAUGUUCUCUCAAUCUACUUAAGACUUUAGAAAGAUGAGUUACAUGUUCUUCGAUUCCUCUACUAUAGAUUACAAUGUCAUCUAAGUAGACUGCAACAAAAUUAUCUAAGAAAUCAUAUAACACAUCAUUCAUUAAAUUACAAAACGUUGCUGGAGCAUUUGUUAAGCCAAAUGGCAUAACUAGAAACUCGUAUGAACCAUACCUCGUCACACAAGUCAUCUUAUGCUCAUCUCCGUCAGCAACUCUCACUUGCCAAUACCCCGAUCGCAAGUCCAGCUUCGUAAAGACAGAAGCGCCACAUAAUCUGUCCAUCAAAUCCUGAAUCAAAGGAACAUGAUAUUUGUUUUUGAUGGUUACCUUGUUGAGUGCCCGGUAGUCCACACACAUGCGAAGGCUCCCAUCCGCCUUCUUCUGAAACAACACCGGAGCACCAUACGGAGCCUUGGAAGGUCGAACGAAUCCCGACUCAAUCAAUUCUUCCAAUUGCUUCCUCAAUUCUGCCAAUUCUCUUGGCGACAUUCGGUAAGGAGCUUGAGAUGGUGGCUUUGCCCCCGGCACCAGCUCAAUUCGAUGAUCAACAGCCCUCUUAGGCGGGAGUUUCUUUGGUAGCUGAGGUGGCAUAACAUCUUCGAAUUGAUGCAGCACGCUAGCAAUCUCGUUCGGCACCUCCCCACAAUAAUCAGUUCUCUCCUCCACUAUUGUUGCUAGAAACACAUCCCCUCCUUUCCGCAAUGCUUUAUCGAUUGCAAUGGCCGAUAUUAAGCUCUUCUUUCCUUUCGCAACAUUCGCAACUGCGACGUUGCAGCAGGGAACAAAACAUGGGCAUCCCUCACUCGCAAUCAUAAUCCCAUUGAGAUACGGCAUUAAAACAAUCUUGGCUUUCCGUAGAAAAUCAAGGCAAAGGAUAAUAUCAUAAUCAUCAAGAGUUAUGACAAGCACAUCAUGCUUACCUCUCCACCGAUCCAGCACUAUCAGCACAUCAUAAGACAUCCCAGCAAUUUUCUGCGCCUUUGAGUUCACUGCCUUCAUGGAUGUCUGGCUAUCACUCAGCCGCAAGCCGAGUUCCUUCACCAGCCGAUCUGCCACAAAUGUGUGGGUUGCGCCUGAAUCCAGCAUAGCAUUUAUAUUAUUGCCGUUUAUCUCAAUCUUUACAUACAUGAGGCUGUCCGUUGCCCCUGGCUUCCCUUUUCGUAAGGUCUCAAUCCUUGCCAAGUCUUUCUCAACAUGGCAGUUUUCGGCAGCCGCAUCCUCUGAUUCUGCUACCAAGCAAUUUAACACACACAUGGGAUUGACGUGCGUAAGCAUCCCCUCUUCAUCAUCGCUAUUCCCAGCCCGAAUAGCAUUCAGCUUCUCCCUCUUUGGGCAUUCCCUCGCAAAGUGAGGACCAUCACAAAUGAAGCAUGUAAGGUUCGGUUUAGUACCAUUACCUGGUGUGCUCGUAAAUUUUGACUUGCCUUUCUCCGCGGCAGUAGCCUUUCCUGCACCCCCACCGAACUUCUUCUUUGGCCUUUCCUCCUUGCUCUUUCCCUUUGACUUGAAGGAGGCUGAUUUAUAGCUCUCUCUCGUAGGAGCUUUAUAAUCUACCAAAUUGUCCGCGGCAGCAAUAGCAGAAGACAGAUCCUUCACAUUCUGUCGUCGUAGCUCUGCUUGCGCCCAAGGUUGCAAUCCGGACAUAAAAUUGAACAACCUGUCCUCCUCGGACAUGUUCUCGAUGUCGAGAAUUAAAGAACUGAAAGACUUAACAUACUCACGAACUGACCUGUCCUGUUUGAGUCUUUUCAAUUCGUCUCAUGCAAUCCACGAAGUGUUGUUUGGGAGGAACUGCUCCUUUAGCUCCUUCUUGAGACGAUCCCAUGUCUCAAUCUUUGGACGUCCCGCACUUAGAUCAUCUUUGGUUCUCGUCCGCCACCAAAGCUUUGCGUCACCCGUGAGAUACAUCACGGUGAGAUCAACUUGUUCCGCUGCGCCAAUCCUCGCAACACUGAAGUAUUGCUCCAUGUCCCAUAAGAAAUUUUCCAGCUCUUUGGAACUUCUUGCCCCACCAAAGCACUUUGGUUCGGGCAACUUAGGCUUAGAAGAACUUACCCCAAGAGGAGUGUUUGUGACUGCCCUCUUCAGAACAGCAAUCAUCUCUUCGGCAGCAGCCAAUCGUUCACUCGAUUCUGCCGCAAGCGAGAUGUACAAGCUCUCAGCGCUUUCAGCGCUAUCCAUCGCUUCCUUCAAGCGAUCCAAGACAGUGCGUUCUUCCUCUUCGUCAUCUGGCCCUAUCAAAGUCUCCAGACGCGUCAACCGUUCCCGAAUGGCUUCCAUGGCUUCGGGCUGCACGUUGUUGAGUCAACCGUGCUCUGAUACCAAUUGUCACGGGGUUAAAUUUUUCGCCUCGCAAAUAAACCCGUGCGGCAGCCUAGUCCCGCUAGACUCAGCCUUGCUUUACCCUUUCACUUGUGUUUUCCUACGACUAUGUGUUUCGCUCACUCAAGGAGGUUCUCACAAUCGUCUCGUCGUAGACAAUGCACAAACACAAGCAAGCAUAAGCAAUCACACCGAACUUUUACAAGAAUCCCUCUCAACCUUUAUUUAUCUCAUCAACAAAGGAAAUACACAAAAAUAGUGUGUUCUAUGCACAAAUUCGCAUGCUACACAGCAGAGGCUUGGCAGCCUAUUUAUAGCCAAAUGUGAGCUUCCAUUCUCACCUAGCAUCCCCUAAUUUCGGGGCAUAGUGGAGCACUAUCUCACCUAACAUGGACUAGUGGAGCACUACCUUCCCCCCAUGAUCCCCAUUUUCCAUGGACUAAUGGAGUAUUAUCCCCACCAUUAUCUUUGGUUGGUGAACCACUUUCUCCACCAAUAUUCGGUGGGUUGGUGAACCACUUUCUCCACCAAUAUUCGGCCCCUCCACCCAUGUUCUGCCUGCCCUCAUGGCAGUCCCAUUUGUCUGCCUUGCUAUGUCAACUGCUGACUUAGAAAGUCCAUCAUCUAAGCCCCACGUCCAUGCCAAGUCGCCAGCUCAAAGACUUGCACAGACCCUUGCACGCUGCCUGCCGAAUUCGUUUCUGCCGCAGUCCAUCGCUGCCGAAUUCUAGGCAAUGUGCUCUCAUUGGCGCGCCCCGCGCCUAGACCUCUAACACCAAGAGUCUUUCAUGGUUGCCUUGAAUUGAUUGACAGGAAGAAGUCUGAAUGUUUUUAGAAAGAAGCAGCCUUCAAGCUUUUCAAAACCAAUCUCUGUAUCUAUUAACAAAAACUCUAAAUCACGAGUACUAGACACAAUUAAUUAUGUUUUUUGUAAUUAUUAGAUAAUUGAAAUCAUCACUAACUCCUUUGUUCAUUUUCAUCUUUUUUUAUUACCCUUAGCAUGAUACACAGAAAAGAAGAAGGGUUCAAGAGAGAACAAUAAUGGAGGGGAAUCAAAAUCUUUGUUUGAUUUUAUGUUGUGUUUUUGGUACAUUGAUCAACAAUAGCAUGGAAGAGCUUGAUAGCAAUAACCUUUUCGACCUCAAUAAUUAAUGUUAACGCGUGGAUCCAGUUGUUGUGGAAACUUUGCAAAGGAUCUGCAGGAAGAAAAAUGAAAUUUGCUUGGUUGUUUGGUUUGUCUGUCCAGUACCUGAGAAAAAACAAAAGGAAAGCACUAUUCUUAUAAAUAAUGCAGGGGUAUACUAGAUUUUUCUCAUGAGAUCACAAUAAUUUAAUGAAAAGUAAACAAAAUAAAUUAUAAAAUUUAAUUUUUAAUUAAAUCUAUAUUAAAAGAUAAAAUUAAAAAAAAAAACUAAUUAAAAAAAAAUCUAAAUCAACUGAAUUAACUUGUUAAACCUAAGAUCCGUAUCAUGAGAAUGUGAUAACUAAAUAUAAAAAAAAUUUAAUAUUAAUGAACUAAAUUGAACAAACAAAAUUAAUUAUAAAGAAAAAAGCAAAAAUAAAAACACUAUAACCGAAGAAGAUCAGUUUUAGUUAUCAAUCGAAUUUUAGCAAAAUCUAGGAUCCAAGAAUUGGCCUCUGUAACAUAGUAUGUAUUCCGAGCCAAUCUGGGCUAGGACUUGAAACAAAUGUUGUAUACUGUUUGCACUGUCACUUUGCUUACCCUCUUAGGUUUUUAUUGAGAUUAGGAUUCUAUUGUAGCUCUUUUUUCUCCUUUUAUUAUAAUAAAAUAAUAUCUAUGGAUUAAUUUUGGUAUAAUUUAAGAAAGUAAGUCCUUUAAUCAAAUUUUAGAUUGACCAUCCACAAUGUGUUAAAAGUAAAUGUUAAUUUAUAAAAUAAUAUCCUUACUGCGCUAUAAAGCUGAUAUUGCUGUUGAUAGCUUUUGCUGGGUUGAUCUCUUUGGUUUAUCUCUAUCAUUCUGGGCAAAAGAUGAUUUUCACGCAGUUAUAGCUCGUUAUGGCUGUUUGAUUGGAAUUGAUAAUGCUAAAAGCACUUUUACAAAUUUGACGGCAGCAAGGGAAGGGUGUUAUUCUGCAGAACUCGGAAGGAGAUUAGUAGAUAUUGACCAUGUUGUUUCAUUGUCAGGGAAAGCACUUAUUUCUUUAAUGUAUGUUUCCGGAGAUUAUUGCGGUGGGAUAUGUUUUGGCAGCUAAUGCAAUUCACAAUGACCUUGGUCCUUGAGAUCUUUACCUAUUUUGGUUUUGGUCACCAAACUUCAUUUGUUUUCAAUUACAUCCUUGCAAGUUCUACUAACACGGUUCUAUUUGUUGUUAUCCACUUCGAUUUUCAUGUUCUUGCAUUUAUCAUAUAUCUUUAAAUAUUCCUACAUUGAAUUAGAAAUCAAUUUUUUUUAACCCUCCUAACCCAGUUGCUAUUAUGGCUAGUUCUCCACCUGCAUGUUCUUCCUUCUGAAGCGUGGCAUCGGUCUUUAGAUACACUUACUUAGUCCCUGUUAUUUAUAAAGCUUCUAAUUUAGUUCAAGUCAAUAAAAGCUUAGCAGUUUGAUACAGAAGCUCAUGGCCAAGUAAGAGAUGUUUGUUUUGGAUGUAAUAAAUAUUCAUAUUGGAACAUAAUAUUCAUCUCUCAAAUCCCUAAUCCAGUAGAUCAUAUAAAUAAUCGUUACCUUUUAUGAAUAUGAUUAUUGCAUUGCUAAUAAUUUGCAAGAAAGAUGAUGAACAUUUUUUAGUGAAUUAAGUUCAAUUAUAGAAAAUCCUGUACAAAUUAUACAAAAUUCUGCUUUAAGUUCUUGGAACCUCGCUUUGGGAUUAAUUAGUGAGAAUAAGAAAAUUCUCUGUGAAUUAUACAAAAUUUAUUAGUAGUCAUCGAUAUAAUAUUUAUUAUAGGUUAUCAAUAUUAAAUAAUGACUUAUUUUCUAAUAUAAACUAUUGAACGGGAUUUGUAUAUAAAAAUAAUUAAAUUCAGAUUUUUCAAUUAUCUUUAAACAUAUUACAGUUUUAAUCGGUGAACGGUCUAUCAUAUAAAUUAUAAAAAAAAUAUUUAUUAUAUAUAUAUAUAGUAAUAACAAAUUAAAUGAUAGUAACGUUAUUGUAAAGAAUAUGUUAUACUCAUUGUCAAAUUGGAUGAGUUACGUGGAGAAGGAUGCUCAUUGUCAAACUGCUAUUCCUAUCACAUUAUUAUAAAGAAUAAAAGCAACGGAAGAAUAUUGUUUGAAUAUAAACGAAUAGCAGCGACUGUGGUCCACUUGGGAAUUGAGACUAUGCAUAUAUUCAGUGCAUCGUAUUCGGUUCCUUCCCGGUGAGAUGCCAAAUUGGUUGAGCAGUGGAGAAUAAAAGCAACGGUUGGGAUUCAUUUGAUCUCGUACACCUUAAAGAAUGUAGGGUCCAUGCAAUUAAAGAAUGUACGUUGUCGAGGUACUAUUUCUUUUAAUAUUUCUUGCACAAGAAACACACAAUUAGCACUCCAAAUUAAUAUUUUUUAUAUAUAUAUAUAUAAUUAUACUCCGUCAGCAACUACCUCGAAAUUACCUCAAUACCAAUACACGCUUGAGAAAUUUCCUUGCUUUUUUUUCCUGUAUGUGUUACAUUUUUAUCUUUUAUAAUUAUAAUUAUUGCAUUGCUAAUAAUUUACAAGAAAUAAUAUUCUUUAUCUGAAAAGGGCUUGAGAAAACCUAAGCAUUCCAAGUAUGAAGUGUUUUAUUGUUUUAUUGCUAUAAAGUUUUUCACACUUACAAUAUAGAAAGAGAAAAAUUAAAAAAGAAAAAGAAAAAAAAGAAAGAGCAAAAGGAAACACUAAUGCAGUAUGAGAGUGAGAAUGAGAGAGAGGUAAUUUCGACUAUACAUAGAACUCGACUGGACAGAAGACUUAAAGAUAAAAUAGCUUUGAUUUACAACCAUGGCUUCAAGGGCCUGGAAUAAAACCAGGUACAAGUUUGUUUCUAUCUAAGAAAGCAAGAAGCUCCCACGGUGCACGCUCUCAACAAACAAGUAGGAAUUGAAUUCAAAGGAAUAAAUCAUUAAAUGCGGAGUUGGUGUUCUCCUGUUUGUGGUUCUGAUAAAUGUAAGAACGGACAGAGAGAUGAAAUAGGAAAGAUCCAUGUAUCUAUUAGUUGGCAGCAGUUAUCAUUCGGCCCUUGCCGCCCACGAAAUCCCUUUGUCCUGCUGUUAAUUUCUUAAUGACGCGUAUCAGGUGUUUGAUAAAAUUCCUCUGCUGGAAAAAAAAAAAAACCAUGUUUAGAAUGCUUUAGUCCUUUUCGAGUGGAAAGUGGUGUGAAAGUGGGAAGUACUGUGAGAGCUUUAUGCCACUUUCUAUCUUAGAUGUAAUUGCUUUGGCAAAAAGAAACAAAUAAAAGUUAGUGUUCGCACUGCUUUAGCCCAAGAGUCUUUCGUGAUCGGCUCUGUUUAUUUGCAGGAAAGUAAAUUUUUUUUGAAAAGUAAAUUUUAAAAAAAAUAAAUUUCAAAAAUGUAUUUUUCAAUGAAAAAAAAAAAAGAACAUAAAAAAAAAUAAAAUAUGUUGGUAAUAAAUAUAAAAGAUGGAUGAAAAUAUUAAAAAAUAAGAAAGAGAUAUAGAAUCUCUUUGUAAAUUUUCUACAAACUUAAUUACAAUUAUAUUAUAAUUUCUUUCCUAAAAUUAUUCAAAAUAUAGUAUUAGAAUUAUAUAAUACUCGGUUUUAAUAUAUAAUUAAAGAGUCUUUCCUAAAUCAAAUAAUAAAAAUAUCGUAUAACUCUUUUGGAUGAAUUGUUAAGUAGGGACUGUUUGGGGUCCUGACAAGGCGGAUUUUAUUUGAAUAUAUUAUUUGAUUAGUGUUGACUCUACUAUUGCUGCAUUGACGGGAAAUUUCAGUAUUCCAUAUCCUUGCUUUACUCUGCAGCUGACUUCUCUGUCCCAUUGCUACCAUUUCAUAGCCAACUCUUUGUUAUAUUUAACUUACUCUUCUUUGCUUCUUGUUCGUAACGAUAACUUGAAAGCCUUACGUUCAGAUAGAUAAUCAUUGACCAGUUCAUCCUAUAUCAUUCUAUUUAAUUUAGAAAUGCAGAAAGAAAAACGCAAGCAAUCCAAAGAUGAAGAAAUCGAUUCAUCCUCGCGAAAGAGAAGAAAAGCUGACCUCAGUAAGCCUAUUUAGAGAUUACAAUUAACCUCAUUUCAAUAUCAUAGCUUUGGAAUUUCAUAGCUAAGUCUUUGUUAUAUUGCUCCAUUGGUAAUUGACUGUGCCUUGAUUUCUGCAGCUGCCAUGAUAGAGCCGGAGUCUUCUCGAUCUAGACCAGAAGGGGCCUAUGAUGUCUUCUUGAGUUUUAGAGGAGAAGACACUCGCAAGUCAUUUACAGAUCAUCUAUACACUGCCUUGGUCCAAGCAGGAAUCCACACUUUUCGAGAUGAUGAUGAACUUCCGAGAGGAGAAGAAAUCUCCCAUCAUCUCCUCAGGACGAUUCAAGAAUCAAAGAUAUCCAUAGUUGUCUUCUCAAAAGGAUAUGCUUCUUCUAGAUGGUGUCUCAAUGAACUUGUAGAGAUUCUUAAGUGCAAAAAUAGGAAAACCGGUCAGAUUGUUCUUCCUAUAUUCUAUGACAUUGAUCCUUCAUAUGUGAGAAAACAGAAUGGCAGUUUUGCAGAAGCAUUUGUUAAACAUGAAGAGCGUUUUGAAGAGAAGUUGGUGAAGGAGUGGAGAAAAGCUCUUGAGGAGGCUGGAAAUCUAUCUGGAUGGAAUCUCAAUGAUAUGGCAAAUGGGUAUGCCUUUUCUCUCUAAAUUUCACUUGCAGACGUUUAUGGAGUAAUUUUACAUUACAUUUUUCAAUGUGAAGUAACAAAAUAUUUCUUUUUAGCAUACUUAAUUGACUUGCUAUCGAUGACUUGCUUUUUUUCUGUGAGCAGGCAUGAAGCAAAAUUUAUCAAAGGGAUUAUCAAGGAUGUGUUGAAUAAAUUAGAUCCCAAGUACUUAUAUGUUCCUGAACACCUAGUAGGUAUGGAUCAGCUUGCUCACGAUAUUUUGUACUUUCUAAGUACUGCAACAGAUGAUGUACGCAUUGUGGGCAUACAUGGGAUGCCAGGAAUAGGAAAGACAACUAUAGCAAAAGUUGUAUUUAAUCAACUCUGCAAUGGAUUCGAGGGAAGCUGUUUUCUUUCGAAUAUCAAUGAAACAUCAAAACAAUUUAAUGGUCUGGCUCUUUUACAAAAGCAACUUCUUCAUGAUAUUUUAAAACAAGAUGCUGCGAACAUCAAUUGUGAUGAUAGAGGAAAGGUUCUGAUCAAAGAGCGACUUUGUUGUAAAAGAGUUCUUGUUGUUGCUGAUGAUGUUGCUCAUCAAGACCAGCUAAUAGCUUUGAUGGGAGAUCGAAGUUGGUUUGGUCCCGGAAGUAGAGUAAUUAUUACAACAAGAGAUUCAAAUCUUCUUCGUGAAGCAGAUCAAACAUAUCAGAUCGAAGAAUUGAAACCAGAUGAGUCCCUUAAGCUUUUCAGCAGGCAUGCCUUUAAGGACUCCAAGCCAGGAAAAUAUUAUAUUGAGCUUUCAAAGAAAGUCGUUGGUUACUGUGGAGGACUUCCUUUAGCUCUUGAGGUUAUAGGAGCUCUUCUGUACAGGAAAAACAGAGGUAGAUGGGAAAGUGAAAUUGACAACUUGAGCAGAAUUCCAAACAACGAUAUUCAAGGAAAGCUUCUAAUAAGUUAUCACGCACUUGAUGAUGAACUACAAAGGGCAUUCCUUGAUAUUGCAUGCUUCUUUAUUGGUUUAGAGAGAGAAUACGUCGCAAAAGUGCUAGGAGCCCGUUGCCGUUACAAUCCAGAAGUUGUUUUGGAAACUCUCUGUGAAAGGUCUCUGAUUCAAUUUCAUAUGUGUAUAAUUAAAGAUGAAAGGCAGUUAUUUGAAAGGAUGGUAACCAUGCAUGAUCUAUUACGAGACAUGGGAAGGGAGGUCGUUCGUGAAUCGUCUCCAAAAGAAC